rnacentral:lncRNA from 1 species
CUCUCAAUGGCGCUAUUCCGUCAUCAGAUAGCUCGGUUGCAGCUCCGGUUCCAGGUUUCGAUUCCAUUCGUUUCAUAAUUUCUUAUAAGUGAUGUUAUGUUACAUUUUGACUGAGGAUUGAAUAAGUUGGGUCAUGAGAAUGGAAGUUGAGUCAUGUUGAUACUAGAUCCAUGUCUUGAUUAUUCUACUUUUCCAUUCCAAUGCACGAUACUAUGGAUUCCAUUCCAAAGAUUCAUUACUGUGAUUUUUUUAUAUUUAAUUGAAUUGAACUACCGAGAUCUGGAAUAGGUGGAUAUGUUGCAGAGGAAACGUACAAGGUAUAUAUACUUUUGAGUUAGAUAAUUCCUCAAUGACCAGGUGGUUGCACCAUGUAAAACCGAUUAGAGAUCAGAGGAUACAGAUCUAGUUCCUUGCUUAGCAGAGGCAGAGCGGAGUUUGGAUAGUCAUGAGGUAUGUCGAGGAAUGAUGGUGAUUACACAAAUAGAUAAUUCAUGUGUUACGAAAUGAAAGAGGCUGAUAGUAAAACAAUCAACAGUAACUAGUACCUUGCUCUAAGAGGCUGAGAUGAGUAGGGUGCAGCAUCCUACUAUUGAUGAUCUUACCUUCCCUGGAAGGUAUUCCCGCAGAGAGAAAUCUUUAAUUGAACUUAUCAUCCUGCCUGUCUUCUACUUCUCCUCCUCCGCUUAUUGAUAUUACAAUCGUAUCUUAUGCAUUCUCUCCUGACGACUCGGCUUCGGCUCAAGGCCCCAGAGGGAGAGUAUCAUUAUUGAGUUGACUAACUCCAACCUCGGUAUAAAAUUCUUUAUCAGCGGGUUCGCUUUUCCAGAAUAGAAAUUUGUAUGAUAGAUCUACGGCGGAGCCGUUUACCAAUGUGGAAGUAGUAAGUUUUGACUGACCCAAUACAGCACCCUUGCUACUACUAUUAUCCCUCUUUUUUCAUGUAUCGGCUCGGGGCAUCGAAAAGCAAAAGUUCUAUCUCCCCUGUCCAUAGAUUUAAGGAUAGCGAGGCAUACCAACGCCAUGCCAACAAGAGGAACCAUCCGGACUUAAAACAGCCGACCUACCCCCUGCCACUUCUUCCUCUAAGUCAAGUUGAUAGAUUUCUGUAUGAGUUUUCAAGUGCCAUCUCCAGUCUAAGCGGUUGAGUUCAGUGAUUGUAUCGAACAAAAGCCCCCUCCCGGGGCAGGUACGCGACUGUCUCUCUUCCAAAGUGUGAUCAUCUUCUCCAGUCUCCCGUUUCCACCUAUUUUAAAUGGUCAGCCUGUGCGGCAUCAAUUGAAUUUGAAUUCUAAAAUAAAGUAGACUUCGGUGAAGGAACCUAUUCUCUGGUAUCUGCUUCGGCCAUCUCAUCUGGUUUCGGCCUUCUUUGUGAGCAGCUCCUAACUCGCUCGACGGGGUAUGAUCGCUACUGUUGAUAGGUCGAUCGGAAAAGAAUAAGUUCCAGGACUGAACAGAAAGAAAGUACUCUAACACUUUCUUCGCCAUUCUUUUCUAUGAGGAGCUCUAUUUUGCUAAUACAAAUGUAAUGCUACCUCCCUACGGCGAUUCAUAACUAGAAGAACUCGUUGGCACAACCAGACCUUAUUAAAGGCCUCGGCCGUCUGAUCGACUGAAAGAUCUUAUCUUGGAGUUCUAGUAUGGGUCGUCGGCCCUUUCUCCUCCUCAGUAGGUGCAAACCCAGGUUCUGUAAAUGAUUAUAACUGCCUUGGAGCUAGAUAAGCAAACCUUCUUCUGUUUGAGUAUGAUGGAUGUUACACCCACUGCCAGAUACAAGCAAAAGCUUUCCAGCUAAGCUAGGAGUCAGAACGAACUCAUGAAGCUAUCCUUCUUCUUGGAUCUCAAGAUUCAAAUGGAAUUUUAUCACCCCGGAUUUUGGCUUUAAUUUCCACUUUAUACUUGAGUUAAGCAAGGCACCAGCAUGGGAGAGAAGAUAGCCCCUCGGGAUCGCUUACUAGCCGGCCUGCUUGAUUUAUUUAUGAGGUAUCCAGAUGGCACUGCACCGGCGAGGGAAAGGGAAGCUGAUGAGAGGUAAGGGAAAAGUCCAUUUAAUGAAUAGGUUCACUACAGACUGUACUAUCUCUAGACCCCCUCUCUAUACUCCCUCAUAAUAUAUGGAUCCCCCGGAUAAUAUUGAUCCUCCAACAGCUGACAUAUCUUAUCUAAACUCCCGGAAACCUGGGCAUGGCUUUUUCGAACUUAGUUGAUUUCGCAAGAAGCAACUUGAAAAGCACAAAGACUACAUCUAAACAAACCUUACGUCUUCGUUCGGCUCAUUCUUGCUUAUCUCACCCUAUUUCCUUACUUUAGCUUAGAAGUAGGCAUAUGGGAAGUUACACAAAGAUGACUUAUCGGUUGGCCUAAGCUUACUCGAUUCCAUUCUUUCCAAUAUCAUAUACGCCUAGUGAAAUGCAUCUAUCUCCUCUCCUCCCCUUCUUUCUUUUUAUCCAUUUUAUAUACCUAGUCGAAGACUACUUCAGAUUAUAGGGCGGGCUUUUCUACCCAUUGACAUAGAUGAUCAAAUAGACACAUAUUUUAGUGAGGAAUACAAUUUUAUAUUACCUUCCUUUGAAGAAAGGAGUAAAAAAAUGUUGGUAGAAUUUAUAGAGCGUAUAGCCCAACUGGUAUCUAAACACAAUGACGUGAAAACCGUUUACUUUCACAAUUUCUCACGAUUCGAUGGUAUUCUCUUAAUGAAGUUUUUAGCAACUCAUAUGGUCGAGUACUCCAUUAAACCUCUGAUGAGGAACAAUAAGCUUUACCAGUUAUCUGUUUCUAGGAUUACUCCAUCUGGGCGGAAUCAAUUGUUGUUCAAUCUACGAGAUUCCUACACUCUACUCCCUAAUAGUCUAGAAACAUUGGCUAAGACUUUAUGUCCGCACUUAGGUUCAAAAGGGUCAAUAGCACAUGACGAGGUUCAAGUGUCUUCUCUGAAGGAUAAUAGGGCCCAAUUGUUGGAUUAUAUGGAACAAGAUAUCCGUCUUUUAGCUGGUGUGAUGCUUCGGGCUCAAUAAAUUUAUUGGAAAAGGCUUAUGUUGUUUGUCCUACUACUAUUACUCGCCCAUUCUUGCCAUACAAAAAGAAAAAUAAUACACUACUUUUCCCAACGGGGAAAUUUUUGGGUGUAUAUUACAGCGAAGAGCUGAAGUAUGCCCGCGAUUUGGGUUACCAGAUUAUACCACUCAGGGGUUACUUGUUUGAGGAGAUGAUUAGUCCUUUCGAAAGCUUUGUGUCAGACCUCUUCGCCAGCAGACAAGAAGCUAAGAAAAGUGGUGACGAUGCUAUGGCAUAUGUUUACAAGAUUCUCAUGAACUCGCUAUACGGUAGAUUUUUUAGAAAUCCGGAAAGUACUAUAACGGAGGUAUGCAAAAAGGAACGAUAUGAGUAUUUGAUACAGAACUCCAAUUUCAUCUCAGGUGACAUGCUAAGCGAUCAUUACUAUAUGGUCAGUUAGAAUAGCAAAACAGGACAUGUUGACAACUCAUCUGACUGGAAUCUUCCUACUAACACAGCUGUUCAAAUCUCAGCGGCUAUUACAGCAUGUGCUCGUAUUCAUAUGUACCAAUAUAUUAGCAGACCUGACUGUUACUACACAGAUACAGAAGGAGCUAUUCUAGGAAAUCCUCUUCCUGAAGAUGAAAUCUCAUCUAUGGAAUUGGGUAAGUUAAAACAGGAGCACAUUGUAAAGAAUGCAUACUUCUUAGCACCAAAAGAAUGCAUACUUCUUAGCACCAAAAAGUUAUACGUUACUUACACCCACUGGUGAUAUAAUUCUAAAGCACAAGGGUCUAGAAAGACUUGGUUGAUUAUGAAUGGUUUGUCUCACAAUACGCCGAUCUGUCUCGAACUAAGCAGGGCACCGUGGAAUCUUCAUUCAGAAUAGAUUGGCACACACUGGAAAUAGCUAAAAAAUGCUUACAAGUUAACAUUGGAAUCCAAGUAGAUAACAAAAGGAACCCUGUGUUUGAUAAUAAAAAUAAAUGGGUUGAUACUGAACCUAAGUAUAUAAUAUACUUUGGUGGAGAAGAAAGCACUAUUCUAAAAUAUGAAUGAAAGAAUUUGCAGGAGAUAAAUGCUAGUAUGCAGUCAGAAAUAGCUAUACUUCAGAAUAAUACAAAAGAAAGGGAUCUGCAUAUAUCACGUCUGGAGUCAGAAAUGGCUAUACUGCGUAAGAAAGAUCAAGAAAAAGAUCAGUAUAUUGCGAGUCUGGAGUCAGCAUUUUAUAAACUGCGUGAAGAGAUAAUCUCGAAGUCAGCUGAUGAUAAGCAUCCAGAGGAAGCUGUUAUGCACCCAGUUACACCACCCCCAAUGGUCAACAAAGAGGUGCCCCAACCUACCAACAAGAAUCCCAAAGAUUAUACCUCUAAUAUAUAAAUGACCCCUAAAGAUAAUAUAACCUUUACAGAUAAUCAAAAUAAGGGGUCUAAGAAGCCGAAGGGGAAGAAAAAGAAAAAGNNNNNNNNNNNNNNNNNGUGCCGAUUCCCUGUAGCAGGAUCGAUUGAACUGAUGCCUGUGGCAGCACUAUGAGUUUGGUGUGAGCGAAGCUAGCCUAGGCAACUCAACAAAAGUCAAGAUGGAUGAUGGCAUGAUCUAGCAAAGCAGAAAUUACUUAAUCCCAAUAUUAGUACAAUUAGAUACAACCCUGUUCUCUUUGUCUUCGUUCAUUCUUCAUUUUCAUGCAAUUAUGAAUCAUGUUUCUACUUAUUCUCAUAUGGGUAACAUCUUUAGAAACUAAAAGUUAGUACUGUCUUCCCAUAUACAAGUGGCAUAAACAAUCCUUUGACGAACUUUCUGGUUAACAUAGAAUCUAUGAGUUUUUUCUUCUAAUUACUACUACUAACAUUAUUCAAUCUGGUAUCCAAGAAUUUAUUAAGCUCAUCCCGCAAGCACAUGUACACAUCUUGGAUUUUACCGUCUGAAGAUGGAAGAAGAUUCGUUCUCCUACCCAUUUCUAAGUUAAGCAAGAGAUAACUCAUAAUUUGAUAUGCACUCGCACUCGCAUCUUGGGUCACUGGAACCUGAUGAUAAUUACUCACUCCUUCAUCCUGAGAAAGGAUCUUGGCUAUGAAAAAAAAUGGAUCACUAGCUUGCGCAGCAAAUUGAAUGAAACUUUCGUCCGAAGUAAACAUUUCAGUCUGGUGUUCGUUAUACCAUUUAAGGGCAUCAUCUAAGUUCGAGAACUUUUGAUACUUAAAGGCUGCAGCACAUGCUAAGUGUUGACUGAGAUUCUUUUUUUCCGACAGGUGGUUUUGUGCUUGAGGUUGAGGAUGAUCGGCAGAAAAGAGUAAUAAACUUUUUGACAAAUCACGCUCAUGAAAAUGCAAUACACCUGAACGGUAGAUUCUACCACGGAAGUCCAUGAAUGCUGGCAAAUAGAAUUGAUAACCUUCGUAUGCUGACGCAAGUCUUAUUAAAAAAUCUUCAUAACUAGCCUGCUGCACCUGUUUUCAUAAUUUAUUUAACAGUAUGUUAUAGCUACAAGCAUUCUUAAUACCUUUGACGUUAUUGAAGUAGCACUCCCUCAAUAUGUCUGAGGCUUCUGUCGGAUUCACGCGAGCCAGAGCAUUUGGUAAAAGAAGCCCACACUCAACUAAACAUUGACGAUUCUUUUCCAGAAAUCUCAAGAGCCUUUUGUUUAUUUCAAACGCUUGAGACUGAAGCCCAUUCAAAAUAUCACACAUCUGCUUGUAUUCUUUUUUAUGUAACUUUAUAUAGAAGUGGUUUAAGUCAUGGGAAGUUAAUAGCCGAAAGUGAUUCUAGAUAUCCCCCGUGGGUUUGCAUAAGUAACCUCCUAUCAGAUCCGAUAAUGUAUCAGGAUCAGACCCCCUCUCUGCUGGUUGCCAAUCCAAGGGUUUGCAAAGCAUCGGAAGAUUUAGUUUGAUAGGGAGCAGAUUUAUGUUCAAAUUGCACAUAACAUAACAAGAAUUCUCUAUAUACCCUUGACCUUUCUUAAGAACCAGCACUGGAUCUUCUUUUGUUACUCCCCUAUCUGUUGAUAUAUGUAGAACAUUUCUUUCAAUCAUGAAUUGGAGCAAGUAUUUCCCGAUAUCAUAAUGACACUGAAUUUUUUUCUUUUCCUCUUUUUUGCUAGCACCUUUGGGCUGAACAACAUCCUUAACUGAUUCUACCUUACUAGUGAGUACUGCUUCCACCUUACCACUACCUGGUGCUUUGUAUUGUAGAAACCUUGCUUGUUCUCGUACAGUUGAAUUAAGUUGAUCUAUAAAUCUAGCUGCCUUAACUGCGGAUGAUUCCUGAAGAGUGUUGAAUACCAAGCCUAGUACAUGAAUCAUGAUAGCCUCAAGCGUAUAGAUACCAAACAUCUUAAGCAUAGGUAAGCUACUUGGUAGGCAACCCUUUAGAUAUUGCUUAGCGUUAGGCUGAUCUUUAUUAAUCAAGAACUUUACUAUGUUAGGAGUUACUUUAAAUAGAUUAUCCUCAUCGAACUUCAUUGUGCAAUUUGCAAUUUGAUUCUGUAAAUCUAUUAAUUCAGUAUCGGAAAACACACCAUUUUUAUUCUUCUUUUCAUUAAUCAACAACUUUCUAACAUCAUCCUGAUACAUAUCAACAUUAGAAGUCUUUUUCGUUUUGUCAAUAUCCAACAGCUUAGCGUAGUAAUCGUUCCAGAACUCCUUAAUAAUACGUGCAUUUUGCAAAGAUUUCUCAUUCUCAAUGCUAUCAUCAUAUGUCUCGGAACAAUAAAAUAGAACCUGCAUACUUUUAUUUGUUACCCUUACUAAACCGCAGUAAGGAUACGAAUACGACUUAAAUAAACAACUAGAAUCUCAAUAUAAGGAAAGGAUCAGAAUAAGUACUAAUGCUCUGUAUAAUACUUUUCCCCGAGCGAUGGUUUAGCGGAUUCGGAAUUGUAACCAAGCAUCCUGGGUUCUAUACCCGAUUCAACACUAGAGCAUGCAGCCGAUCCUGGAUACAUAACUCUCAAAAGUGUGCAGUGAGGGAUCUUUAUUGGUAGCCAGUCUUUCACUUCUGCCUCUCCACUCCCAUGCCUUUCUUGGUCGGACCAACCCAACCGGCGAUUUCCGACAAGUCUUUCUGCUUAGAGCAAGAAGCGGAACCAAAAUAAAGCUUUCUUUAUUUUCAUUUAUGGAUAACCAAUCCAUUUUCCAAUAUAGUUGGGAGAUUUUACCCAAGAAAUGGGUACAUAAAAUGAAAAGAUCGGAACAUGGGAAUAGAUCUUAUACCAAUACUGACUACCCAUUUCCAUUGUUGUGCUUUCUAAAAUGGCAUACCUAUACAAGGGUUCAAGUUUCGAUCGAUAUUUGCGGAGUGGAUCAUCCCUCUCGAAAACGCAGAUUUGAAGUUGUCCAUAAUUUACUGAGUACUCGGUAUAACUCACGCAUUCGUGUACAAACAAGUGCAGACGAAGUAACACGAAUAUCUCCGGUAGUCAGUCUAUUUCCAUCAGCCGGCCGGUGGGAGCGAGAAGUAUGGGAUAUGUCUGGUGUUUCUUCCAUCAAUCAUCCGGAUUUACGCCGUAUAUCAACAGAUUAUGGUUUCGAGGGUCAUCCAUUACGAAAAGACUUUCCUCUGAGUGGAUAUGUGGAAGUACGCUAUGAUGAUCCAGAGAAACGUGUGGUUUCUGAACCCAUUGAGAUGACCCAAGAAUUUCGCUAUUUCGAUUUUGCUAGUCCUUGGGAACAGCGUAGCGACGGAUAAUUCCGAAUCUACAUAGGUCUAGUCCAGGGGACAAAUCAAUAGGAAAUGCUAUUUGCUUCUUAAGAAGAAGAACUUUUUUGAAAUGAAAGAGUUUCCACGGGCGUCGGAUAUCAUUUCUUCAAAUAAGGAAGAAGUGUUAUCGAAGGAUUUCCUUCCAUUCUUCCUAGUAUGGAAGAAGUAAAGAAAAAGUACUGCGUCUCGAUCUAUACGAAAGGGCACUGGUUUUUUCUUUCGGUUUCAUUGAUAGCAGAAGAGUACGCUAGCUAGCGGAGCCUGAAAACGCUUGCUUGCGCCCCACCCCUACGGAAACUAUUGCCUAUGCUUGCUGCUCGCUCAGUUUCAGUAGAAGGGAAGAAAAGAUGGUCACUCCUUUUAGGAACAUGGCGAGCCUUACUUACGACUGUUGCACUUCACUCGCUGCUCGUUCAUUCACUUGCUCAUGAACUCGCUGCUUCGCCAGAAGCGACUAGUCGCCUCCUUUCCUCCGCCGAAAGAUGCUUAGCCAGAAGCGACGAAGGAGGGGAGCUGGGGAAGGCCGACGAUGGCAAUGAGGGGGAAGCUGUCGUAGAAGCUUUGCCCCUUGCUUUACAUAAAUUGUUAUGAACUUACUAAAUGACCUUAUUUAUUCUCCCGGAACGCUAGCAAAUCUAAUAGUUCCAUCUGCUCUUCUUAACUUAAGAACGAAGGCCGCCAUCCUUCUUAUUCAGGAACCCUUUGUUUGAGGAGGGCGUAUCCCCGGGAAGGGGAGAGUGGCCGAGCGGUCAAAAGCGACAGACUGUAAAUCUGUUGAAGGUUUUCUACGUAGGUUCGAAUCCACAUCUGAGCGUCUUUUUUUCGGUAUGCCGCUCCGCGAGCAAGGAGCGCCGCGAGGAGAGCGAGAGAACGAAGUGGGCUUUGGUGAUGUCGGAAUUUGCACCUAUUUGUAUCUAUUUAGUGAUCAGUCCGCUAGUUUCUUUGAUUCCACUCGGUGUUCCUUUUCCAUUUGCUUCCAAUAGUUCGACCUAUCCAGAAAAAUUGUCGGCCUACGAAUGUGGUUCCGAUCCCUCCGGUGAUGCCAGAAGUCGUUUCGAUAUACGAUUUUAUCCGGUUCCUAUUUUAUUUAUUAUCCCUGAUCCGGAAGUCACCUUUUCUUUUCCUUGGGCAGUACCUCCUAACAAGAUUGAUCUGUUUGGAUCUUGGUCCAUGAUGGCCUUUUUAUUGAUUUUGACGAUUGGAUCUCUCUAUGAAUGGAAAAGGGGUGCUUCGGAUCGGGAGUAACCACUUUUGAAAGGGCAAAGGGGGGAAAAAGUAAAGUAUAAGCGACAUAUGGCACGAAAAGGAAAUCCAAUUGAGGUAAGACUUGAUCUAUCAUCUGAUUCUUGUUUUUUUCAAUGGGGGGGACUUUUCAUAGUUAUCAUUGUGAUAGCUGCUUUAGUAGUGGAUCCCUCCUUGAUCGUGACAGAUCAGGUUAGGCAAGCACUACUGGAAGUGAUUCUGUCACUUUUACAAUAUGUUUUGCUAUAUGGUGCCACGCUGAUUGAAGAAAUGGUACCGGCCCUCUGGGGGCAGGAGCGAUGUGGGACCGUGGGCACAGGGGGGCUUGAAAGUCCUUCCCGUUCGGGGCAGGAAACGUACAAAGCCCCACACGUUCAUCUAAUGCUAUCAUCUGAUAGUGAUAGUGAGAGCGUUAACCAAAGGGGUGGGAGCGAUGUGCCUCCUUUAACUAUUGACUUGAACCGACCGGCUCAGGAUCAGGAAGAUAUUAGGCAAUAUGCCGAAUCCAUAAAGGAUUUUAGAAUUGACGAGCAAUUCGAGAAUUUCAAAAGGAAUGAUUCCACUUCCCCGCUCUAUGAUCAAUUAUGUGCCUACGUGGGAGAUGCUGAUGUUGUCAAAAACAAGUGUAUCCGAGAGAUCUCGGAGAACUUUCAUUCAACAGACGCUGGGUUAAUUGAUUUCGUCAAUCAGACGGAUGACACUGAAGGGCAAAGAAGAGUUAUAUGGGAUCUUAUAAAGCUUCAUUUUCAAGAUGAGCUUGAUAAGAUCCCACCCGAACUACAACAAAAUGCAAAUCAAGAGGAGGAAUGAAUGGUCGCCAUCAUCAUCAUUCUCUUUUUCGUUAUCAAGAUAAAGGGCUUCAUUUGAAGAGUUAGUUGGCCGGCCUACCGGCCCGCAGAUGUAGAGAAAGAGAUAGAGGUUGCCUCUCUUCUGGAACUGCGAAACCAAAGGGACGCUUGGAAAGAAGGGAACGCACGGCUCUUAUCUGGUUCGAAUCCAGUUCGUCCCGGCCACAAAGACUACACCAAACUACACUAACUAUGAGUUUAUGAAAGCAAGAACUACUAAUUGUAAAAAUUACAAUCGAAAGCCCCCCCCCCCCGGUAGAAAACCUGCUAUCGUUUCAUAUAUGCGCUAGGAGAUAGUAUCCUAUCCCCCUCAAUCUCAGGAGUCGCUUUCUCUAUGCCCGACUUACGAGCUCUUUGCUUAUUAUUUCUCGGGUGGGAUGAAGGUCGAAAUGUCUAGUUUGAAUUGCUUAUGCUUAUAUAGUUUGAAUCGUCUAGCUUCAUACCAAGGUUGUUCUACAAAAGAACCAAGUAAGAAAGUAAGCCCGUUCAAUUGAAAUAGCUUCCUCGCUUCGCAGUUCGAUACCCACUGAAACUAUGGAUACGAUAGACUCGGGAGGGGGAAAGGGUUACUUUAUUUGGGCUGCUAAGUCUUUCUUGUUGAUUCCGGAAAUAAAGAGGACCUUCUUAAUCCUUCGUGCUCCACACCCGCCUCACUGGACCUAUCCAUUCGAGCUCUCUCCUCUAAUCCCAACUCGACACGGCUGGACGACGACGCCUGUUCACUUAUAACGAAAUCACACGUUAAGCCCGAUGAAUUCAUCUACAAUUUCUGGAUUUGUCGGUUUGGCAAGGCAGAACCAGGGCCCUUCCAUUAAGGUUAUAUUAUAGUUUCGAUAGGAGAGAUGCAGACCAGAUAGGAAUGCAAGAAUACUCUGUAAAUUGUUUAUUAAUUGGUUUAGUCUGUGGAAGAGAAGUAUCGAUCUAGAGGAUUGCCCCCCCCAGACUGACCUAGUUGUCCUUGACUUGCUUCGGAAAGAAAAGACCUAGUACUUGUUUACCUUGACCAUGGCUACUUUCCCGCCGCCUUUCCUUCUAUACUUUUCCUAUGUGCUAUCCCAGGCAUCCCUUGUCAAGCUACCUAUCCCUACGAAAAAGCAAGCCUACUUACUACGUGUUUUCCUCUAUUGGCAAAUACGCAUAUACUGACCUACUCACGUGCAUAUCUUGCAUAAAGCCUUCCCCUAAAAAAACAAACUAGCCCGUAUCUUCCUAGUCCUUGUUGCCAGCCCUACUCGACUUUACUCGACUAUUUAGAAAAAGCUACUACUUGAAUGCAUACUUUUACUAUUAUUUAAAGAAAAAACAAAAACUAUUUAUGAGUUUAUGCCCCACCAACAGAGCAAAAGAACGCUCAAAUGAGGAACUAGAAUAUGAAAGUGCAAAAUCUCCUACCGAACAAAGAAAGCACUAUAUCUCAUUUUAAAAAUCUGGUAAAAAUUCUUCAACCUAACUCAACACAACUAUAUUUCGACUGUAUAUGUAUGUUUGUAACGUGCCACAAAACCAUCUUAAGAUUAGACAGUUAUCAAUCAGCAAACGCAUUGACCACAUGCAAAAAAUCAAGACGGAUCUCCUUCCUUUUAUUCGGUGCUUUCCUUUUAUAAGUCACUGCUAUUCUUCCUUGACCCUUCUUACCUUUGCUAGAUUUUGCAUUCCCCUCAUUACUAUUCGGCUCAGUAUUAUCUUCACCUUUGGAAUUGCUUCCACCAGAAGUAGACGACAAGUACCGUAGAUGUCAUAAUUUCGUAUAUAGCAAAUUCAGGUAGUAAGUAAUGGAACUGUAGCAUGCAAAGGGACUGUACCAUGGAAAUUGAGAAGAAAUCUCCAUCAAGUUUUUCCAUUUUAUGCCAUAUGAAUAAGAGAUUCCUUUUAGUUAGAAAGCUCGCGUAGAAGUUUGCUAUCAAAGACCUCGGUAUUCUUUUCAUCCGCGGUUUCCCACUUCUCUGUCUCUGGGUGAAUGCCUCUACCAGAGGUUAUGCGCCAGCUUGGGAAAGCCUUAAGUUAUAUCUUAAUCUGUCUUGCAAGGUAGAUUGGAUCAUGUCCGCGAUAGAAGUUGCGGAGGAAUGAAACGACGAUUUCGGUAUAGGAAGAGAAAGGGAUUGUGCUUUCGACCGUGGCGAGAUAGGAUAGACUUGGGAUUCUUUCUUGGCCCUUGAUUGCCAACACUCUGGGGCUGAAUUAAUUAAUGAAACUAAUAGGAAGGAUUGGGAUGAUGAACUGGUGAGAUUCUUUCUUUCGCUGACUGACCAAGGUAAUUAAUUCCUUCCAUUGGCCAGGCGGGUAAGCAAGGAGACGACGUUCUCAUUAAAAAAAAUGAAAUAUGCCAUGCCGAAUUCAAAAACAACUCCUUAAACUCCGUCGUUUACCGACAUCCUCUCGGCUAUCAUACGUCCUCCGCUUAUCUCUCUUAGGCAUAGGCAUCUCAACACAUUCCUCCUUCCGAGUUGCUUGUCCGAACUUGGCUCUUUAGUAAAACGAAGGAGCUGCUAAGCUAUUAUUAGGUAUCAAUUUAGGAGCCUUUUUUCAUUUCCAACUACAUUAUUGUGAGCAUUCGGAACCCGUUCCUACGCGGUCAUCAAAUUGGCUGGCUUUGGACCCUCGAUCGCAGCAAUGAACUCAGCGUCCCACUUAACUUACUUUUGGUACUUUUGAAUCUUGUCCCAUCCCAUAGCUUCACAAGUGAAUCUACCUAUGGAUCCAUAAAGUUGAUCAUUACUUUUCAAAUUCUUAUUCCAUGUGUCCGCCAUAGCGCUUAUCUAUCUCCUGGUCUGAUUCAUCUUUGGAAUGUAACCGGACAUAUUACAAGGCGAAAAAACAGUGAUUUCAUCGAUUCCGGAUUGCCCAGUGUCUCCCUUUCCCUCUUUCCUUUCACUUUUUCUUCGGCUGUCACCAACUUUGUUCAAUGCUAGUCCCUAACCCAUGAAUAAGGGCUCCGCUGGCUACCGGGUUCAGAGAAGUUUGUAAGCUCUUUCUCUUUUUUCGUUUUUCGCCACCUCCUGUGUCUUUCCGUUUAAGGUCUUUAAUUCGGCAUUAGCUUCGUUAGAGAAAGCCAUGCGUGAACUACACAAAGCAUGGGAUCCUGAACACCACGAAAGAAAGCGUACUACUUUUCAAUAAGGUCCGACUUCAGAGAGGAGAGACAUGAACUUGUUUUAGGCGUAGAAAAGGCAUACGGUAUGAAAGAUUGAUUGAAAAGAGGUAGGGACUGGUCUCGCUGCUAAGGGAGAAGGAGACCUCUGUCGGAGCAAGCUAAAGAGCCCACUUUAUAUCGUCGAUUUCAGGUAAGGCACUCGAUCAAGCCUAUACAUCCGGGAAUUUAGCUCCAAACCAAAGACGACUUGCUUUGCUGCAUUUCUUGGGCCGGGGCUUUACUUGAUUUUGGCGAAAGAAAGGCCAUAUGAUCUACUUUCUGGUGCCGGUCCCUUCACAAAGAUAGCCCCUUCUUGCUCUUAUUCGGGGGGGGGGGGGAUUCUUAUUCGGUGGAAUACAAGAGUUCUGAAGCUCCUUUCUUUCAAGUGAAAGUUGCCUAUCUUUCUUGGUUCGGAAUCCAAUCCAGUUGAAAACAAACAAUUGCCCGAUGGCAAAGUCAGAUGAAAGGCAAGGAGUGUAAACCACGUACGAGCGUGGCGCAGAAAGCGAAAUGUUUUGCAGCGAGUCAAGCGUAAUACGAUCAAAAGGAAAUGGGGUCGAUGCUAAAACUCAAACAGUUCCCCAGAGGGGGCCCCGGGUUGAAAGAGCGAGCUACAUUCUUUCAUAGAAGACAGAAAAUAAGAGGACUGAUGCUUUCUUACUUCAUCUUAAUAUAGGGAUGCUUUAUGUAGCUUCCAAUGAAUAGGAAACAAGAUGACCCAUGGGGCACUCAGUGACGUAUCUAAACCGUCUAUCCAGUACUGGCUUUUCACACUCGGGAAUAGAAACUGUCGGCACUUGAAGAUGAACGAAGCGAAAUUACCCCCCAAAAAAAGCCCUUAUACUCACCUUGGUGGGGACUGACUGCUCUCCCCUACGAAAGUAGCAUCGCGAUGCGGAGAUCAACAACACAUAUUCGCAUACCAUGCUUAUCUAUUGAUGUCGCAGAUCAGCGGCAACUCCCAUACUAAGUAUGAUGUCGCAUAUCGGUUGUCUAACUACAAGGGUGGAACCUUUUCUUUUUAACUAGUCUUAAAGUGGAUGUCGCAGCCUUGAGUUCUUUUUAUUGAAUUCACGAGAUUGAAAAUUAGGAUGGAAUGAAUAACCUGGAGAUAUAUUCCUUUUCUCAAAUAGUUCUUUAAGUUUUUUCUCUCUAUCCUUGGCUUAUUCAAUAGAGCUUUCCUUCUUUUCAUUAUUCGAUACUGCUGUGAGAUACUACGAGAGCUCGUAGGCAAUAUGAGAUAGAGCUGACUAAGAGAAAGAAGUAAGCGGAUCUUGCAGCUGUUUUCAUUCCUUUAUUUAGGUCUUGAACCUAUUAAGUAGAAGAUCAAGCACUGAUCUGAUGGAUCAAAUGCUUUCGGAUGAACUACUCGAUCAAGGGCUUCCCAAUAUAUUUACUAACUUCUCUUCGUUCCGCAUGAGAGAAAGUUAUAAAGACAGAUUUCCGAAUCGUUUUUUUAGUCAUGUUAGCACCACGCUUCGCUUUCCGGUAUCAGGUAUAUAGCAUUUACUCUUUCUAAGCUUUUCCGGUUAUAACUCGUUUAUGAUAUACCAACUGCGGCCUGAAGCACCAACCACCAGUAGCAUUUCAACCAAACCUUGUUUCUCGAUCAAAAAGAGCGCCCUUCCAUUUCUUUUUAAAAUCAAACGUAGAUAGGGACAAAAGCCUGGCCGAUAGAGGAAUAAGUGGAUGGGUCUACCUAUGGUGGUUUGAAGUCAUUCACAAAGCUACUCAGACUUUUAGUGGAUUUGAUGCCGGGUCUUAAUCCCCAACUAGAAAAGAAACUGAAACUCGAUCUCGAGAUAUGCCGGCCGGAAUGCCGCAGGCUCGGAAGGAGGUAACGUGAGGCAGGGUUGAUGUAUCAGAGGUGGAAAAUGGACUUUCUAUUUUGCAUUUCCAGAUGAAAAAACCAGACAAUGGGUAUUAGAAGGUGGACCCUUGGCACAUUGCUAACAUACCAUUACUGUUGAGACAAUGGCAGCCAAAAUUUCAGUUGAAAAAAUGGGAAAAAAGAAAAAUCCCAAUUUUAGAAAACUGUGGGGAGUUCCUAAGGAGUACAUUAAAAAAGAAGGACUGAGCUAUAUUGCUAGAGCUAGUGGUUUGGGGAAGCCUCUCUAGAUGGAUAAAGUCACUGAAAAAAAUACAAUAUUUGCUUUUGCAAAAGUAAAAAAAUACUUUUUCAAGGAUCUUGGAAACUAUCUUAGUAAUUACUUACUUAUUAAGGAGACGAGAUUGAGAUUAAAGCAGAAUAUGCAUGGAAGCCCAAAUCCAGUGCUGUUUGCUAGGAGUUUGGUCAUGACAUUAGCAGAUGUCCUAAGAAGAAGAUAGUAGAGUUUGCUCCUGUCAAGAAGAGUAUUGAAGCUGUUACUGAAAAGCAAUAUAUGUAAAAAGAAUAUAAGUUUAGAUUACCGGUCUGUCUCCUUAAUAAAGAGUCGAGGAAUAGGAGGAGAAUCCCCAGGCAAACAACUAGGGUUCCAGAUUCACUGGGCAGAGAAGGGAGAAUAGUAUCCUCUCACAGUAGGUGACGUUUUGGGCGAACUCACUAGUCUCCUAAUUAAUUCCCCACGAUAGGAAAAUAGAGAGAGCACAAGACUUUUAAGCACCUUAGGGGUUGAUGUAGAAAGCUUGCCGCGAGUCAACAAGGACCAGCGGUGUUGAGGCAACUUGCGGCAAGUCAGAGUAGACUUUAAGACCAACUUGGUGUAGAGACGACUAUGAUGGUCGGCCUCCACAGACUGAACGCGGGAGAUUCUUUCACCCUGUUUUUAGUAGUGCGAGGAGGAUAGAGCUCCCAGCAACGAGUGAUUGUUCGUACGAGCGAAGGAGCGAGCAUGCUUUACCCUUAGAGUGAAGUUGACAUUCACAGGUCUUGUGGGAACUCCUUCAGUUCAGGUAGCCAUAGUCACUCAGGGCUAUAGUGGUAGUAGCAAGAUCGAAAUUGUGAGAUUGGCUCGAUCACAAACUAUCAAGAAGAAAGAUCAAGAUUCACUUUUGUCGGGCAAAGAACUCUAUUGAGGAAAUGACUUCGCUCACUGAAGACCAAGCAGCAGCCAUUCUAGAUGAAAGGACACAAGCCUAAAACUUGAAUGCGGAUCUAUUUAUCUUGAAUUCCUAUCUUCAGAAAUAAAGAGUUGCCUAUCUUCAGAAAUGCUGGUAUAGUUGACUUGCCUCUGUUCUCGCACCGGUGUCUGCCAGGGUCUGAACCAUUAGGUAGAGGAUCAGCUGAAAGAAAAGGCAGACAGAGAUCUUGUGCCAGAUCCGUAUACAUUCAGCACCCUCAUUACAGCAUUUGCUAAGCAUGAAAAGUGGUUGGAGCUAUGCUUAUGUGCACGAAAAUGCAGGAGAAAGGAUGGCACCCAGAGANACAGAGCUAAAUCCUAAUGAAUGGAGGCUAAGAUAUGAAUUGGAAGCUCAAUUGGUCCAAAUUUGUGAGAUGGAAGAGUUAUAUUGGCAGAAAAGAGGAGGUGAACGGUAGAGUGGCUGCUAAAGGGACACUGCUUAUUUCCAUAAAAAAGCAAAUGGGAGGAAAAGAAAGUCUCAUGUUGCUCUUCAGAAAACGCGUAUAGUGGCCUUCGUCGAUGGGACAAACGCUCCAGUGUAUGCGUUACAAGGCAACUAGCAUUUAGUUCGUGAAAGAAUGUUUCGUUGGAAAAACCAACGCCGACGUCAAGAUCAGUCUCCUUUCUCUUUUCGGGAGCAGAGCUGAAAAAGAUGGACAGUAACGAUCGCGUAAUAUCAAUUUAUCGGCCUCGUCAUCGAAAGCGGCUUCCAAUUGCUCGGAAAUUCUCAGCUAUAUGGGGGACUUUGAUGGUGAGCAAAAAGAAUUGAUCAAGAAAUUGGUAAACUUUCGCAUGAUCGAUGGUAAAAGAACGAGAGUUCGUGCUAUUGUUUAUAAAACUUUUCACCGCCUAGCUCGAACUGAACGCGAUGUAAUAAAACUUAUGGUUGACGCCGUAGAUAAUAUAAAGCCAAUAUGCGAAGUGGUCAAAGUAGGAGUCGCAGGUACUAUUUAUGAUGUUCCUGGGAUUGUAGCCAGGGAUCGUCAACAAACCUUAGCUAUUCGUUGGAUCCUUGGAGCAGCUUUCAAACGACGUAUAAGCUACAGGAUAAGCUUAGAGAAAUGUUCAUUUGCUGAGAUACUGGAUGCUUACCGAAAGAGGGGAAUUUCACGUAAGAGAAGGGAGAAUCUUCAUGGACUGGCUUCCACCAAUCGGAGUUUCGCGCAUUUCAGAUGGUGGUAAAGUGAUACCACAUAAGGAGCUCUUCCUCAUUCAGUCAUACUCAACAAAAGUAAGAAAUGUUUGACCCUGAUCCUUUUUUCAUCUUCAUAUAGAAAGAAAAUCGGCCUUCCUCAUACUCCCCCCUUCAUUCAUAGAGUUGGAGGAAUCCACAAGAGGCCUGCCCGUUCAUAAUUGCAUAAAAGAACCAUUCUUUUUAUGAAAACUCUUGUUCCAACCUCACCUCAGGUCGAAUGAAUACGAAAGGGGGAUCAAUCAAAUCAAUAAGCCAUGAAUGAAGAAGUAGUGGGCCUUUCGCCUUAUUUCGUUUGACUCGUGGAGCUGAGAAAUCUACUUCAAAGAGAGGGAAAGAGUGCUAGUCCGAAAGAACAAGCAAGGGAUGAGCGCACGGGAGCGAAAUCCGUUGCGCCCACGCGCAUACGUUUUCUUGCUGGGUAAUUUCUCAGAAAGUUUUUGUGUUGUUGAUUCCUAUUCCUAGGUGUUGUGCUUUUUCCCCUAUGCCGCCUAUUGGUACUAGUGGAGUAGGAUUGGCCUGUAAUACAGAACCUAUAGGUGGUGUAACCUUUCGCUCAAUACUCAAAUCUACAAUUGAAGCAUCUGAGGCUGCAUCAAUCGAGGAUACACGACAUAAGGAAUUGUUAGAUCUCCAAACUGAACUUCGCCUUCACCAAGCGUGGGUUUUCACUGGUCCUAACUAAUGGUUGGCAAGCGAUCCCCUAUUCUGCAUCCCGAAGAUCAGACGGCCCAGAGCCGGAGCGAUCAUUCCAGCAAGUUACUCAGCUUGAGUUUUUCAGUCAAUCAAUAGAUUGUGCAGUUUCUUAGUCUUUUGGUCCACGUCUUCAUGACUUAUAGAAAGGGUUUCUUUCUUUUACAAGAUCAUGGAAGCUUCAGAAACCAUCCGAGAUCUUCUGGAAACAAGAAAUGUUGCAUCAAAGGGUUCAGUGGUCAUAUCAUAGUGAAAUCGAGUUUCUUGAUUUAGUCGAUAUCAAAUUCCCAACUUAGAAAUUAGAAAGGACUAAGAUUCUACUUCUUCCUCAAAUACUGGGAAUGUGGAUUCAAGUAUGAUAUCACUAUUCCACAGAUCUCAAGAAAACGAAUUGAACAAGUUUGAUGGCUGGAAGAAGAUAGGAAAUAUUCAAACAUGUAUUGCAUUUCAUCGAUCUCACCCUUUGUUCAGUGCCGCAUAAGUACUGACUUCUUGAACAGAUACCGGUACCGGUCAUGAAGGCUUCGCCCUUCUCAAGUCAAGUGCAGAAGCGAAAUCCGUUGAGCAAGAAGCCAGUGAUCCCACAACAUCAAAGUGAUACAUAUGACAUAUUGGAAAUUAGGCUUAGUUUGUAGCUGUGAAUAUAGUAAUGCACUUAUUUAUUGAGAAAUAUGUUCUUUCAAGUAGAGCAUACUCGGUAGAAAGGAGGUGGCGGAGCUGGGAAGAGGAUUAUACUUUAUCGAUUACUUGGACUUAGAGACCAAUUAUAGAAAGAAGACAGUAGCUGAGUGAGUUUUAUGGAUCUAGUUUAUGAGCAGCUUAACUAGAAAAGCAAGCAGAAGGAAUAGAAGAAUGAAAUGCAGAAAUAGGGGAAGGGCGGGUAGCAUUUUCAAAUGCCAGUUUGAGUGAGACAGUUUCUGUCUGGCCCCCCACUUUUAGGCUGUUCUUCCAUUCUGCCUUUGUCUUGCUCUAAGCUACCUGACUUCCUUCCUUUGUUCUUCCAUUCUACUUUGUCGGAUUCUGAUCAUCAGUUCUUAUCGAUCCCAUUUUAAGGACAAAUCCUGAUGUUGGUAAAAUAUACGUGUUGAUCAAGGCCAAGGACAAUGAAGCAGCCAUGAAAAGAUUGAAGAACGAGGUAUGAUGAUUACUUCGGACUACUUUCUGUUCUUCAUGCAAAUGACCAUAUUUUCCGUCUGCAAUACAGGUAGAAGAUACUGAGUUGUUCAGAUGUUUACAGGAAAUCCAUGGGAAAAACUACCACAGCUUUGUAUUAAGCAAGCAGGUUCCAGUCGUUGGUAAUUUCAGGGAAGCCAACAUUGGCAUUGCUCCUGAGUUAGCCAAAGAGAUCGCGGAAGAAGUGGAUGUUAUCGUAAACUCUGCAUCAAAUACCACUUUUGAUGAGAGGUUCGUGAAGCUAUACUAGUCUUGCACCAAGGAUUGCUUCCAUUACUAAAUGUGUAAGUUCACAUUCCAUAGCAAUAAAAGUAUUGCAACUUGCAGGUAUGAUGUAGCACUAGACAUCAACACCGUGGGGCCAUUCCGGAUAAUGAGUUUCGCGCAGCGGUUUCGAAGACUGAAGCUCUUCUUGCAAGUAUCAACAGGUCAGAAUGCCAAAUAAGAGUUUCUUGUGGUCGAAAUCAAAUGGUAACCUGUUUCUAUUAAUCUCAAAAGCUUACAAACAAGCUUUAGCAGUAUGUUUGCAUGUCAUGUUUUUGGCCAAACAGCAUAUGUGAAUGGGCAGAGGCAAGGUUUGAUACUAGAGAAGCCAUUUUGCUUAGGGGAUACCAUAACAAAGGGGAUAGGUUCCUCAGAUUUUUCGGCACAUCAGAAUACCGUGUUGGAUAUCGAGGCUGAGAUCAAGUUGGCUUUUUACUCCAGAAGGCAUUCUUCUGCCUCUGCUUCUGUUACUCAAGAAAUGAAAGAGUUAGGUAGUCGAGGUAUUCUAGUAUUUCCCUGUUACUUUCUCAUGUCUGUAGAUACGAAUACACACAUGAAGUAUUUGAUUUGUGCAAUUUAUUUAUUCAUAGGGCCAAACUCUAUGGUUGGCAAGACACUUAUGUGUUCACAAAGGCCAUGGGCGAGAUGGUCAUCAACUGCAUGCGAGGAGAGAUACCGGUGGUAACAAUCAGGCCAAGUGUCAUAGAGAGCACAUGGAGGGAUCCCUUCCCAGGUUGGAUGGAAGGAAACAGGUAAAUGCUAAACCCAAAUCUGAGGUUGCGGAUGUCACAUAUAUAUGUGAUGCAUCCUCGUCUGCUUACCAGAUAAUGAGCUAUUUCCAGGAUCUAGCAGUGCGUACUAACUUUUGACGGGUUGAUGGUGAGGAUCAAGUAUAUGACCUAUAUUCCUCACUAUUAGAGGACUUCAAAGAGGAGAUUCCAUCAUAAUCUCUGGAAGCUAGUGUCAAGGAAGCCGUUAGCCGUCACCUUAACUGAAAGUUGGUGAAGAAGGUGUAUAUGCCUCUUGUCUAUGGUAAGACACAGCAUAGUGCAGCAGCGGACAUCCAGAAGGGGCUUGACUUCAUUAGAAAACGUGCUGAAAGCAACAAAGUGGCGGACAUUUUUUUUUGCAUUCUGGGACAAUAAAUUCCCAGCCAUUGCUAGGCUGAGCCAUGUUAGCAAAGAAUGGUUUCUCCAACAAUAUGAGGAUAAAUCCCUUACUAAAAUGGUAGUGGUCACAAACCCCUUCCGUGUACAAUUGAAAACAUUAACAAUACGAAAGCAAGAAUCAUCAUUUAUACUGGGAAUGCCUUCCUCUACCAAAAGAGAAAGAGUUGAAGAUAACGAAGGAAAGUGGGUGGAUACAAAACCAGUUCAUAUCACUUGUCUUUCUGGUCUUUCAGAAUCUCAUCGAAUACUAGUAAAUGCUUUCGAAGAGAAAAUAGAAGCACUAGAGAGCUCAAGUUCACUUCAUUCAUCACAAGAUGCAAAUGAUAAUCAAAAUGGAGCUAAUGAGGAAGAAAUCACUUCUACUUAAACUUAAAUAGUUCAAUACCAACCAACACAUAAAGCAAUAACCAGAUAGAUAGAAUGAUAACAGGUAAUACGAAGAUAUCAACACAGCCGGAGUCACGAGGCUCGAUAAUGACCAAUGGGUUAGGAUCUGAGGAAGCUUAGUUUGGAUGAUGGAAUAUUCGCUGUUCUGAUUGUUGAGAUACUGCAAAUCCACUUAUCCAACAAUUUCAGUCCAUUUUCCUACUUUUUCUGCAAGGGGUUCAACCCCAUUCCUAUCAUAGAAGACCGGCACUUUUGGAUGAGGUGUGAACUAAGAUAGAUUUGAGGGCUGGUUAUCACCAAAUAAGAAUGAAAGGAAGAGGAUAUCUACAAAACAGCCUGAAGGACCGGCUUUUUGAAUUCAAGGUGAUGCCCCGGCAACCUUUCAACAACUCAUGAAUAGUGUUUUUAAAGAGAUAUGUUGGAAAGGGGUAUUGGUCUUUUUCGAUGACAUUCUAGUGUACAGUUCUACCAUGGUGGAGCAUCUCAAGUUGCUAGAGGAAGUGUUCCGGCAGAACAAACUUUUUGUGGGUGAGCCAAAUUUCAUAAAGGAAAUACAUUAUUUAUGAAAUUGGGGUAUCUACUGAUACAAACAAGGUAGAGGGCAUGACAGCUUGGCCAGAACCAGCCAAUGUCAGAGAACUCCGAGGGUUGCAGGGGUUAUUACAGGAGGUUUGUACCGGGGUAUGGAGCUAUCAGCAGGCCUUUAACUGAGUUGUUAAAGAAAGGUGUGGAGAAGAAGCCAGAAAAGCAUUUCUCAAGCUCAAAAGUGCUAUGGUAUGGUGAUGCCUUUGAACGUUGACUGGGAGAGCGGCUCGAAAGAGUUGGGACAGACUAGAAGCUUUGAAGUUUAUGUUCUUUAAUAAGAUAAUAGCAAUCUUGACUUACAUCCGGUCAAGAUCCCCGUGAAGGAAUGCUGAUUGAACAUCGAGCUGAUAAAGAGGGAGUACCAUACCCAAGAUACUCCAUUAAAGGAAAGGUAUGCUUGUUUGGUUUCUUUGGUCCGAGAACACACACCACAAACUCUCGCAGUCGAUGAGGAAACGUUAGUAAAACUACAUUUCAGUAAUCCGUCUGGCCUUAACCUCUACGCAAGGAGAUCUUACGUAUAGACCCAUGAUUAGGUAACUACUUCUUCUUUUAUUCGGAGUAUCCAAUGGAAAGUGGGCCUCUAUCUACAGGUCAUGGAUACCUGGGCGCUAGAAAGGUUACCGAACCAGGGUUAAGUGAGGCUGUUCAAACUUCACGGCCUUCACUAUCGGAUGUAUAUGAGUAAAAUCAGACAUCAGUAUCACAACCUAGCGUUAUCCAGAUCUUUCGUUGAUCCAGGCGAUUUUGGGAAGGACUCAGCAUUCUCCCACAAAAGGCCAGGCCUUGAGUUUCUAGCCGACUCAUAUAAGUCAGGGUGUAAAUUUUUUUUAGGUGACGUAUCUUUCUCUCUGAUGUUCUCCGUGGUCUCAAAGGAUGAUCAGUCGGAUAGCGACAUUGGUAAAUAAAAAGAAUAAGUUUACACGCCGGGUGCAUACUUCAGUGCCACUAAUUAGCGACUUUUUUUUGCCCUUUACCUACACCAUGUAGACCGGAGGAUUACACAGAAUCCCAUUGGCGAGUUUCAGACAGCUAGGUUAUUCAAGAAACUUUGAAUACCAACUCCAAUGCUUGGCUUGCUGAAUCAGCAUAUGGAUUACUUCAUUGAAUUUCUCGGCCCGAGCUCUUGUGAUUGGUCCACUUGGCAGGUGGAGUGGAUCCUUAGCAGGUUCAUGUGUUCCUUGUUUACGUAGCUCUUCUGUUGGAUCACGUAGCCCCUCCGUUGGAUUACGUUGCUCUGCCCUUGGAUUACUUGAGUCAUUUCUGGGUUUACUUGGCUGCUCCGCAACAUGUUGGUUACUUGAUCCUUCGCUUUGUUUACUUGGGAGCCCAAUACUUAUUGGUUGGGAAAAUUACCUUCCAAGGAAAAUGAUCCUCCCACUGGACCGAAAAACCCAUAUAUUCCCAUGGGAAUGGGUGGUGCUGAACAAGCAGGCAGGCCCAACGUUGUUUAUCUUUACUGCAAUCCUGGUUAGGUAAAAGGAAUUCCGCAGCAGCGGGUACGGGAUUAGUUACAACCAACGGAAAGACUUAUUUAAAUAAUAGGGAAUUUCCUCAUCCAGUCUACUCCUAGGACUACAUCAUAUGCUCCCAACUCCAUGGCCAACAAAUCAAACUUCAAUCGAUAUCCUUGCAUCUCCCACUGUACACCAGAACACAUCCCAUACAAUCGGCCCGAAGAGCAUCAAUGAGCAGGCCUACUAAAUAGGCAUAGAGAUACAUUAGCCGAGUUUGCUUACAACAACUGCUAUCACUCUAGCAUCGGAAUGGCACCUUUCGAAGCACUCUACGGGAACCUUUGUCGUACCCCGAUUUGUUGGGGUUGGCACGUACCGACCGACGGGGCCACAGAAGAUGAAGGAGAGUGCCGAGAAGAUUCCACUUAUUCUAGAUUAAAAGCAGUUCAGGACCAGGUACGCCGACCACGAUAUUUGGAGUUUGCAGUAGGUGAUCAUGCUUGACUUCGGCUUGAACCUACAAAGGGUGUGAUGCGUUUUUGAGUGAAGGAUUAGGUAUAGCUGACCGAUACAUCGGACCUUUCUUGGCCCAUAUCCCCCUAGCCCUUACUCCCUUGUUUCGGUGGUUGGUCUCUACCUUUUUCUGUCUCUUGGCUAGUUUGUCUUCCUCUUCUUUUUGAGGGUAACGUAGUAAAAAUCCUUUAUUUCAGGGGAUUUCCCUUUUCUUUCCAAAUGAAUUUAUGCUUAGUCUAAAAUUGGUAAAUACCAAAUAAUAAUAUAUAUAUAUUAUUAUUUGGUAUUUACCAAUUUUAGACNUUAGAAAUAUGUACCAGUUUCCUGAAACUAACAAAUAGAGUUAUAUCGAUAUAUCGAAAUAAGUACCCCUUUUGUAAUAUACUUCCGCAGAGUGAAUACGCGCUCAAUGAUGAACCUUCAAAAAUGCGUUAUGCCGCAAUAGGUACUAGUAUCAUUAUAGCAAGUUAUUUGACUUCGAAUGCAAUAAUUCCGCUAACAGCCUCUAUAAUACAAUGAAAAAUAAAUGAUCAAUUCUAUUCCACGAUGUAUUCCUAGUUUGAAAAGAGAUGAAUGAAGGGCAUGAUCAUUAUAAAGUAUACCCAUUUUUAUUUAUCCCAGCUGGGUUCUUGUUGAAUACCCAUAGAGCUCGGAUUCCGACGAUACGAGCAAAAGCUAUGAAAGCAUUAGGAAAGGGACACCCGCCUCCAUUUUGGAUUCGGUCUGUUCCAUCUUUUACCUUUGGAAAAAUAAAGGGAUUGGAGCCGCAAAUCCUUGUUGAAGAGGAUAUCGAGCACAAGAGUGAAGAGUGAAGAGUAGAGGGCGCAUUGGAUGUGCGCUCCCUAUGAACGAUGUCCCACUAGAAAUGGAUCUUCGGAAAGAAGAGUGUUUCUCUUGAUAUUUCUAUUCUAUUCUAUUUCUAUAAGUGAAUUAUUGAUCUUGAUCAAAUGGAGAAAAUGUAGAUGUGAAACUAUGUUCUUUGAACACCUUCUUCCAUGCUAUUGAAGCUGGCAAACAGGGGAGUGAGUGAAGAGAGAAGCCAUGCCUCUUUCGAUGUGAGGCAAGCGAUGAACGAGUAGAUGCUGCCCUUAGACCAAUUUUCUCUUUCGGUAGCUGACACCGAGAUGGGCUAGGCUAGGAAACCUUAUUCGAGACGAUAGGGAUGGUAAACAAAGCGAUGGGGUAUACGUACGAAUUGGAAUACAAAUGAAAUCAUUGCCUAUAAAGAUGAACCCGUUAGCGUAUAGGAACAACAGCAUAUGAAAGUUGGGUGGAUACUCCUAUUUAAUUGGUUUAACCAGAAACAGAGGAUAGGAUUCGAAAAGUCAACCGGAAACCGUGCCCUAAUCUUUAAUUGAGUUCAAUACCCCUACUACUAGUAUUGGCGUGGGUUCGUAUGUAUACAUUCGUAUUGGCUUAGCGGUGCACUUCGUAUCCCGCCACAUCCGAUCCUUUGCUUUGCUUCCUUCUUACUUUUAUGAUUUUAUUGACUACUCUUGUGCAGCUGGGAUAUAGUGAGUUGAGAAAGGAGAUAGUGAAACUUAACUAGUCUUUGUCAUGGAAGGGAGCAACUUCUCUCGAGUACGUACAGUACUGAGGAUUUACGAAUAGGCUAACGUUACCAGUACAUAGUGGAUCUAUGAUAGUGAUGUAUGGACCACACCAACCUCUCUUUCUAGCCGUAAUCGAUAAGAAAGGAAGAAAUAUCAUGGCAUGUGAAAGCAAUAAAUCUAUAAUAAAAUAGGUAAAGAAAGGCAAAUACUCCGGGGUAAUUGGCUUAUACCACAAUGUUACUCUGACAGGAUCCUUGACAAAAUAGUCUUGGCUUGUAACCCAGUAUUUAUUGGACAAUAUAACUGGCUGCUGAAUACGCGCGGCUAUCCUGCUAAUACUGGCAACCAAAGACAUGAGGUUCUUCAUACCAGCAUAAUCAUUCUCCCAGUAUUGGAAACAUACUUUUGUAAUAACAUGAAUGUCUUUAAUCUCUGUGUACCUUCCUAUUUGCUCUGUCAGCUCAUUAGCUGCUGCAAAUAUUUCUUAGCUAUUAGAUCCUCUUUCUUCAUGGUAGAACUCCAAGACAGAUGAUAGCUCUUGCUUGUCUUCAUGAAAAAGUGCAGAAGCCUGUAUCAAUGAAGAGUAGGCCGGUACCAGCAGAAGAUAGUAAAUAGUGAGGGAAGGUUGGCUUGACAGGCUUCGUUCUGGAUGUUGUAAUCUCUUCUCAUGGUCUUUGUUCGCUUUAUUAUCCCGUUGUGAGAAUGGCUAGGACUGUGGAUCCACACGCCCCUCUAGUCAGUACUUUCCGAGUAGCGCAAGGCUUCUUCGUUGGCAAAUAAACGAAUUAAUGAACUAAUUUCCUAAUAUGACGUGAACUUGAACUAGCAUUGAUCAAGUCCAUGAGCUCAUAAGAAGGAGUUCUUCACGUGAGAAAGUCCACGGCUUAGCUUAAUUCAAUAAAAAAGAAAGUAUCCAAUCGACUUUAGGAGCGCCAUAUGUUUCUAUCUGAAACGGUAAAGCGAGGCUCGCUAUAAGGGUCAUAGCUAGUUCAGGAUUGGUAGGAAAGUAAUACAAAUGAUUGUAAUAUGACAACCCCCAGGGGAGCUAGCCUUUGUGUUAAGAUUAAAAAGAAGAGCCCUCUUUUCAUACGACUCGGUGAUUCCAUUGCUCUAUCCGGCCGCAAGAUUCGAUCGCGUACAGCACGAGCACGAGAUGGGUUGGGGACUUAGAAAUGAGCUAUGCUCCAAGAAUUGACCCCUGAACUACCUUUGCCCGCCUUUUCUUGUAGAAUCCAUUCCCCCUCUUUUAUAUAUUUAGAAUGCUUUUAGGGCUAGUGGAAUGAGGCUGGAACCCAUCAAUAUCGCUAAACCGGGAGAGUUGCUUGUGUUGGGUUCAAAGUUUCGCUCUACCAAGGCAAGAUAUAAUAGAAUAUGCAUCCAGCUUUAGCUGAAUAUAGUGAGUGUUCAGCGAAAAAGAAGCUAUCCCGCUAAAUCUUCCCGUGGGGCCAAGGUUUGUUUGACAUAAAGAUAGAUAAGUGACCUUACUACACACCCAUGGGUGAAACUCUCACUCCGAUUUGAUUACCAGGUUGGGGAUAGGCAAACUACUUAUCAAUGCAUUUGUGUUGCUCUGGUGGCCACAUAUAGAAGAGUUGUUAGUGAAGUUAGCUAGAAAGGGUCGUCAUUUCCCUACCAUUCAAUCUUCCACCUGCCAGAUUUAUCGUCACUAUUUUAUUAUAGUGGGUAUCAGUAUCCAUUGGAUAAAUCCCUCCGCAUAACACUUCAACCCUGACUUUUAUUGAUAAGACGAAUGUCUACUCUGCGUGGUUAACAAGCGUUUUCCGAAUCAUCUAUACCUUCUCAUCAGCCUCCUGGACAAGAUCCGGAGCGCUUCUCCCGAUGGACUUAAGCUCUUACGUAGUAUAUAGUGACUGUAAGGAAUAGAGCUUAUGUAUAGUGCCUGUACGGAGCCACCCACCUCAAUGGUGAAAUGGUAGCAGCUAUUGUGUUGUAUGCGAACUCCCAGCUGAUAGGCAAGAGAGGGGGCGGCUAGCAAGGGAAAGGAAAGCCGUAUCUUUGGCUAAAGUAUGUCAUAAGACAAUAUAUCAGUGGUCUAUACUGCCUGAAUCUGAGCCUGAACUGGUGCUGCACAUACAUGACCAGGAUAAUAUUAUUCUCCACACUUAUAACACAGACCAUUAGCCCUUCUCUUCUGUAUUCCUUCAACUGUUUUGCCCCUUGUCGAACUUUGACUGAGACAUAGCCUUGCUGCUGCGGGGCAGCCGACUUAUAAUUCUAGUUACUGUCCUUCUUGUUCAUGUAGUGCCUGCCUCUCUCCAAAACUCCUUCCCGCACUUGAUUGAGCAAAAGAUGCAGCUUCACUAAUUGAGUUAGGCACCUGCACUUCCACUGCAGCUCUGAGUUCAUUCUUCAGACCCAAAAGAAAUUGUGUCACCAGCAGCAGUCCUCCUACAUUCAGAUCAUACAAUUUAACCUAGCGGAGCGGAUUCAACUACUUAAGAUAUUCUUCCUCAGAGCCAGUCUGCUCUCUAUCAUCAUCUAUCGUCUAAAUAAGUAAAUAAUGAAACCGAUAUAGAUCUUGUUGAGGACCCCCAUCCAAGCCAUAGGAAAGAAAGCCACUGGAGUGCGACGCUCAAAGCAAAAGUAAGUAAUAGGGAAACAAGGUUCUAUUAGGCUUGCAGGGCUGCUGCUCUUUGAAAGACGAGGUCUAGUGGAAGAGGCGGGUCGGGCAAGUUGAGUACUCAGAUUCGGCGCUUGCUUGACAUCUCUCUUUGAAUCUGAAACCUGACAUGACCAUUGAUUCCGCCUCCAUUGCCGGAAAGGAUAACGAUGGAUCUUUAGCUAGCUCAUAGGCAGAGGAAAGGUAUACGUUAACAGAUAAGGAAAAGUGGAUCCGCUACCAAAUACGUUGUGGAGCCGUGUUCUCCAGGGAGGUUUGAGGGUUCUUGGGAUGGGUUCUAUGUUGCUGCCCAUUCAUUUCCUAUUAAUAAGGAGAUAUGUAAAGCCAGUCAUUCUAUUAAAGAGAACUUCCAGUGGCAGAUUUUAGAUGGUAAUUCGGUGCGAUUGUUAUAAGACCCUUGGCUCGGUGGGACUGCAUUGAAUAGAAGGCCUAUUCCUAUGAACAUGUCAGAGCUGUUGGAAGGUUUGUCUCUCUCCCACUAUCUCAUUCCUAAUAGGGAUUGGCAUCUUAGUUUAUUAGCUUUUUUUCUCCCUGAUGAGGUGGUGCGAGAAAUUUCAGCUGUACCAAUUCCUAGAAGCAUCUGUUCUGAUACUUUGACAUGGGGGUCUUCUGUUCACUCUGACGAUUAGGAUGAAGGAAGUAUACAGGGAGGUCUGCCAGCCAUUUAAUGAGGAAGGUGGUCUUCAUUUCUCUUGCGUAUGGAAGCUUAAGGUCAUUCCCUGCAUUCCGUUUUUUUGGUGGAAAGCUUAUUGGAAUAGACUUCCGUGCAGAGAACGAACUUCUUGUCUCAAGGAAUUUGCUCCCAUUGUCUCAGUGUUUUUUUUAUGUUUGUGAAGGGGUAGUGGAGGACAUAGACCAUGUUCUGGUGAAGUGCACAGUAGCUAAUCAAGUGUGGAUGGUUGGUCUUCCUGAACUCUUUGAGCUGGAGCUUUGGACUCUACGAGGUAUUGGGUGCUUGCCCUAUUGAGAGUAUCUUACAUUCUCUCUUCACCAGACAGAUAGACAAAUAGGCAAUCCGAUAGAAAGAUUAUGGCUUCCUUACUAUCAGCAAGCUCCCACAGGCGAUGAACUGCUUCUGACUUCUUCAUUCGGUUUGUAGCCAUACCGUAUAGAGUGAAAAAUGCCUUUUUUUGGAAGUAGCUAGAUUCAAGCAAGCAUCCUAGCAAAACGAUCUUUUGACAAUGGGCUCUGCCCAACACUGGGACUGACUGACUUUAUACAGAGAUAGAAAAGGCAGCAAUCCAAGCUCUUUUUGAAUCGGAUAUUGGAUAGGCUAAGCUAGGUGUAGCCCGCUUUCUCUACGGUUUUGCUGAACUUGUCAAGCCCGGGGGGCCUUUAGGGAAUUUUGGAGAAUGAUAGAUUCUAGGAUAACACGGCACUAAGGUUGAAAGGGAUGGCAUGGGUUAAGCAUCUUACUUUGGACCUUCGAGCUAAGUUAUUUAAUAAGGGGCUUCUCCUACUAAUUAAUUGGAAAUCCUUUUUACAAAUAUCCUCCUCAGAGCGCCCUGUAACCUUACCUUUUCUGAAUGGUACACUUUAAGACGUUCAGAAUAGAAGAAGAGCAGUCGUCGAUUGAUUGAAAGUGGAUUGACGGCAUUCAUCAGUUGAUUGAAAAUGGACUUUUCUUUUCUGAUCGAGCGAGGUCCCUUUUGGGCUUAAAAGUCCUUUGAGCCGUGGAAUCCCUUUUGUCUUGAUUUAGGAGAAUAGGCGCAUUGAUUAGGUUACGUGGUUUGAGCAAUCUGCAGGAAGUUUCUUUUCUAUUUAUUAUAUAUACCAUUCAUAUUCAAGUAAGACGGAUAGGGCAUAUUUGACUAGGAAGCAAGCAAAGCAAGUCCCUCCAUACCAGCUAGCAGUCUUGUUUAGGGAGUAUCCUUCUUUACUGAGUCAGGUUCCCGGGUGCCUAUGCGAUUAUUAAGGCAGGGUGCUACUGUACCAGUAGUAGAGUGGCUUGAAUCAAAUCGUUUGUCUAGAGAGGGUGUAGCGAUAACCAAAGCUGACUGUACUAGAAACUUGAGAUCCUGUAUAGGCAACUGGCCUUAGAAUAGUGUAUUGAACUACAGGACAGGAACGACCCAUAAUCAUUGGCGAAGAAGGCUUGGAAAAGGAUAAAACAUAUUGAAGAGAAGCUUUCACAAAGGCCAAUAGCCGAUAGCUGAUGUCACUAGCCUUAACUUCUUUAUCUACUUGAAAGCUGAUGAGAGUACGGCUUUCUUAAAGGAAGUGUCCGUGCCUAUGAUAUUUUUUCCUAGUAAAGUAAAUAAAAUUGGAUUCGCCUUUUUCCGUAUAUAUAAAGGCAAGGGAAGCUCUUCGUCGAGCUUCUUAUCCAUUGAAGAAAAAGACAGACUGAAACUUUAAGACUCAAACCUGCCCCUUUAUUAUUAUUAGUAAGUAAGAUAGGUUGCUUGAGCCAAUCCUUAAAUCGUGGGAGGAAAAGGCAUAAAAGUGAGCCCACCCGACUAAAGGGGAGAAAUUCAGAACUUCAAAAUAAUCGAAGAGUGGUCGGAGGUUUGAUAACCCAAGGCAAAUCCACUUCACGUUAUCUUGUUCCUGGUCAAGCUCCCGUACCCGCUCCUUAGUCCCAUCCUCCUCAUCGAAUUAAAGUAACGUAAGGUUUCGUAAGAAACAAUUGAAUAAGCGUAUCAAAGAGAAUGAGGUCUAGCACUCCGAAAUACCAUCGAGAAAGAGCAAUAGAACAAGGUUAGAAUAAGAUCUCCAAAAUGGGUGGGACAACCAAAGGCAAUUCAAUGGAUAAUCGGUAUACUUAGUGCGUAGGCAGGCCCAACGGUAUCCAAUCAAUGUAGUCGGCAGAACAAAGGAAACAGGAAUGAGAGAUAAGAAAAAAAUCUAAGUACCGAGAGGAAAAUAGAGCUCGAAUCCAUAGCAUUCUCCACGCACCCACCAUUCAUUAGCAGCGACCUUACCACACAUCAUUACCACCAACCAUUUCACUCGAAUCUGUAGCUUUGCUACCUUCGCAACUAGAGGAAAUGAAGAUAUUCUUCCUUUAUUUCUCUUUCUUGGCAUCAAUAACAAAAAGAACCAUAGGUGCACCAACCAAGGCAGAGAUUGGAGAUACUACGAUUGGAGUGCAGUGACCAUACCCGAGAUAGAUCUGAACCGACGGUUGCGGAGAAUAGAAUAGGUACAACGGAAAAUCAUGGGAAUAACGAGAGGGUACGUAGGGAACAUGGCUGACCAAGCUCCUUUUUCUAACGAUUGCAAAAAUUGGCCGGUGUUCUUCCCAACUGCUCCAAUAAACGUGCCUACACCCCAUUCCGUCUAGAAAAUGAUAUGAUUGACCGAUAGUACUUAUGAAACCCGGCACUGAACUAAGGGUUUGAUUUGCGACCUCCUGAACUGUUCGCAUUGCUCUCUUCGGUUCAAGGCUAUGAUGAAAGUUCAGAUCGCCUUCCUAACGUACGGAAUACGGAAUUUAGUCGAUGCUAAACCUCUGUUCUAGCUGAGACUAACGGCACAGAUUUCUAGUGCUAUAACAGAAACUGCCCUUAACGCGCAAAUGAAAGCCCUCACAACACUCUUUACCUGCAACUGCUCCCGCUUAUGGUAGUAGAUAAACAGGUGGUGGACAUGUAUCUGCAGCCUCUGCUGCUGGUAGAUUGACUGUUUUAUAUGGACUGAAAAAAAACGGAGGGUAGUGCUUGAGAAUGCUACUCUAUUCCUGGAAUUAGCCAUCCCCUUCUUUGACUAUUCGACCUGCUCCUCGAAGCAAGGAAGGGAAUGAAGAUGGCAUUGAAUGCCCUUUCCGCAAGAAGGAUAGGAGUUGGCUUACCGCAUCUACCUUCUCAUCGCGGGAUAAGGGCUGGGGCGUUAACUUAAGUACUAAAGCUGCUGGAGCGGCUGCCUUCGUUGAUUCCCCACGAAGGAAUCGGAAUAUCGCUACUUCCCCUUACUGCCCUAAGCGGGGGAGAUGGAUUAAAAACCUUGUGUGAAGGAAAGGCUGUCAAAGUCGUUGACCAUUAAUCCGGUUGAAGGACAAAUGGACAGUGAAUCAACGGAAUCGAGUUGUUCUAAGGAUUCGGAUUCGGCAGUCGAGACAUCUAUAUCUAUGGAAUUUCAAAAGAGAGAAAAGGAUCCGAAUCCGACCCGAGGACGAGCUCAAACCUUAGGGUUUGAAAAUAAGAAGUAAAGCUCUCGUUUACUUCAAUCAAAAAAGGUAGGUCAUAACACAGAUUGAAUUAGACCUUACUCAAUCACUCAUCGCUGGAAAAAGUAGAGCGAUUUCCUCGCAAAAAAAGCACGUGCGAGAUAUUCUUCCUUAACAGGGAUCUCAAUUGCGGGAAGAAGUACAAAGGGCAAAGGCAGAAGUGGAAGGGUCAAACUCCUCUAUCGGCGAAAGACAGGAAGGAUAAAAGUGUAAAAUCACUUGUUUGAAACAUCUAAAAAAUAGAAAUGGCUAUUAGAAGUUGUAUUUUCGGUGGUCAAAGGGAAGGAAUCAGAAAAGAGGGAAGCGCUCUCAAGGUAGAAUCAGUUCCAGGCAAGUAUGUCCAUUGAAAGGAAAGAGUCCCUAAACAAAACAGACAGGUUUUCAGCAAAUAAGACGGGUCCUGGUCUUCGGCAACAAAAGAAGCCGAAGCGAGAGCUCAAUCAAAGAACCUUUAUAGAUCCUCAUCAUCCUCAGGUUCUGGAUACACAGCGAGAAGGGAAUCUUCCUGUUCGAAUGGAAGAUUUUCGAAAGAGAGGGGAGAAAUCAAUCACAUGCGUGAGCGGAUCGAGCUAUUAUAUAAUAAGUAACGGCUGAAAAAGCUAUUCUUGGUAGAUCCACUUGUCAAGGCGCGGAAAGCCGUGUUCCUUCUCAGCUCACACUUUCCUGAUUGAUUUGAAAGACCCUACACACCACCGUAUCCUUGGCUUUCUUCCCACUUUCAAAGAACUUGCUAUCAUUCUUUCGAUUCUAUCUCCUCGCUUUAGGUCUUAUGCUUCUUAUUAAAGGGGUUAUGCCACUCCGAGUCCAUCAGUGUUGAAGGAAUGGACAGAGACAGGCAAAGACAAAGUACUGAUUUGACUACCGAUAGAGAGCAGAGCUAGAGACAAGAUGCCUAGGACCUGGAGGAGAUCCAUAAGAACCAAGUCGUGGAGAAGAUAGCAUCAAACUGGAGAUAAUAAACCUAACUCUCCGUGCUUUAAUCGAGAAUGGAUACAGGGUCGUCGAGCGAAACCUUUAUUAGGGGGUAGACCUACCUUGUUUUGUUGACUUAUUGCUUUCCAGCAAAGCGUGCCGGCCCUAUCUCUAAAGCACCAAACUUCCACAUUUUAGGAGAUGCCCUAUCUUCCCUUAAAGAGCCAGCUUAUUGAAUAGAGCUGUCACUCCUUACCUUACCUAAGACCCCUUCGGGAUAUCUUUUGAAAACCUUUUCUCUGAAAAGAAAAGAUGUUUGCGAUCCCUUGCCCGCUCGAUUAAAGAAAGUGGGAUCUGGCCUUGCAUUUUUUAGAUAGGGCUCCCUCACGGCAUUCUUGCUCUUGCAUUUGAAAGUCGAAUCAGGAUUCCAUCUAGAGAAAGGUUCCGAAUGGAACUAGUGAAUGUGUAUGCCGAACGUAGGCAGGUAUACCUGACCUUUGAUAUUAAGCUAUGAUCUCUCUUCUCUCUCUUGAAGUUCCCACAAAGCGACUCUGAACCUAAGACCGGGUUGUGGGAUGUCUUUUGAUAUUCUAAACUAAGAAAAACGCAAUUGGAUUUCUUUUUAUAUCCCUAUGAUAGGAAAUGAAAGAAAAGGUCGAGCUUAAGUCGAUUCCAUUGCGGAAAGAAAAGAGGCUCUCCCAUUCCCACCUGAUACGUCAAAAGCAAUUGACUAAUAAGGGGAACCAACCAGUCGAAUUCGAUUGAUUAUGUCACUCCGCAUUACUAUAAAAGGGCAGCAGCUUUCUACUAAAAUGGGCUUUGGCACUCCUUCCGCUAUUACUCGAAAUAAUAAUAAUAGUGAAAGGGCAGUCGAAUUUGUGACUACGUCAAAGGCUCGUUUCACUCGAAUUUAAAGGCUGUAACUCCUACUUAUUUCUAUUAAUUAAAGCUUGCCCAUGGCUGCUUUCUUCCCAUUCUUUCUUCUUUCCACUAAUCUAAUGGUUUCAUUCUCCCAUCGAGAGGUUAUGAUACUAGCAAGAGUCCUAUUCUUCUCCUCUCGAUCCUACCUUGGGUUAUGUUUGACAGGGAUGGUCAGUGAACUUCUAUUGGUUUCAAAGGAGGAUAGAGAUCCAUUGGGGAAGGCUCGAAAGGUUAUUCGAUAUCAAGGUUGACCCUCGACGCGCCGCAGCCACUAUUUUUACUCCUUUUAUGCAAUUAUGAACGAAACUUUCUCGAUUCCAAUGCAACUUAUCCUUUUGGAGUUGACGUAACAAACUACGCGAGCCUCCCGAUGAAGCCAACAGAAAUCCUAUCCGAAUACUAAAAAUAAAAGGCAAUUUCAUUAUGGUGGUAUACCAGCCGCCAGUUCUGGAACUUCCAGUUCCAAUCGGAGCAUAUAGAUCCGUAAAUGGAUUUGUAUGUAUAGCCACUUCAGUCGUGCUCCUCGUUUCUCGAAUGGAAAAAAAGUAUCUUCUUUCUGGGAACAUGCUAAACCAGAAAUUCUUAUGUUCGUGAUUCUUCAUCCACCGAUGCAGAAAAUCUUCCAGUUUUCCAUUCUCAUAUGAGGCAGGAAAGUUUAUGGGCAACAGGUCGGCACGAAGUGAUUCAUCAUGUUCAAACAUGAACCUUUCGCUCGUUGGGGACGGUUUAUAAAUCAUCAAAUUCCCACAAAUGGAAUGAGAAGUGGGUCCAUGUAAAUGAUCGAGACCUCGCAAACAACAACGUUCCUUCCCCAUAUGGAGUUCGGGACCCAAAGGCAAUCGUUGAGUGAACUGUAUCUUAUUCGUAUUAGUUGACCUAAGCCGCACCAUUAUUGCAGGGGUGGGGCUCGGCCUCCGAACCGUACGUGGGACGAGUUUCUGCCUCAUACAGCUCGGGCCGAAGACCGGGGAAGUUGAGGAGAGAUGGGGAGACCCAACUGCUGCCGGUCGGGACGGACAGGAAAGGGGGCGGGGAUAAGCUUGUGAAGAAGCAAGCUUAUUGCCCCACCCCCCAAAAACAAACCGAACCCAGCAAGAAAACGUAUCCGCUUUAGCAACAAAGCGCUCAUCCCUUGCUUGCUGCUUCGCGUUCUUUCUAUUCCAUCCCAGUCCAUUCCGGGAUAGGCGGCUAAUAUAAUAUGUGCAGUAGUCGUCGUCUGACCAAUCGGCCCGGACACCAGACCGCUUGUGCCCGCCCAUUCUGUCUCGCCCUAAAUGGAAUGGCUCUCUUAGUUACGCUGUGCCCCGACCCGAGUCCCCACGUCCGCUUUUAUCCGCCCGCAACCCGGCCAACACAACAUUAGGGCCGUCCCCCCCAUUCUAUGCUGACCCGGGCCGGGGAUCGCUUUUUGGGAAGCCCGUUCCCACCGCGCUCACGGCCCGGCUGGCCUGCCAGCGGUAGUGGGAAUUCUCCCGUUCCCUGGUCAAAAAAGGGUUGGUUGGAUGCGGGAUCUACUCCACGAGGAGCGGUACGGACGUAGAUGAUAUCAUCACGACCUCUCUUUGCGUACCGCUAGGGAUGCUUAACGCCACUUCGCCAACUGGCAUUACCUGCGCUUUCGUGUCUCUCAGUGUGGUCAGCACUGGGUGUUUCCGAGCAGCGAGGCUUACACCCAUUCGCAUUAAUUCAUCCAAAGUUCCUUACCCUUAUGCACGAAUUUUGGAAUAAGGCAUCUUCCUAUCAAGGUUAAGGAGUCAACUGAGCAUCUCAGCGGCGGGAUUGAAUACCCGGAUCGAAUCAGAGUUCACGCCGCCCGCCCUGAACAAAUAGAAUAGGAGGCGUGGGCCACAGGUCGCACAUAAGCCAUCGGGUCGCACGACAGAAGAACACCCAACAUAAAGAUGCACACUCCUCCAUGUGAAAUAGAAAGAUUCAUCUUCACUUUUUUGUAGUAGUCGUGACCAACAGCCAUCAGCAGUCGGCUCGUUGGUAAGGCGAGAGCUUCAAGCCCGCUUUCUGGUGGCACACCCCCCAAACAAGCACCACUCGACGAGGGGGGGGCGGGGAAAGCUACAGGCCCAAAACCUUCGACCCUUCUUUCUAUAUGGGGGUGCCCGGGGCACCUCAUCUUGUCAUUUUGUUGCUCAUUCCCCUUAGGCCGAAGUGUUUGGCCUUUACUUCGGAGCGCCCGCUCACGCUUCGCUGACCUAUCGCGUGGUAAAGAGAAGAGAGUACGAAAGAAUUGUAAACAGAGCAGACCGCAGAAAGAUUCUAAAUAUGACAAGUCCCCCAUGGAUUCGAUAAUAAGGAAAUGAAGAACGGGAACGAAACGAAAUAAAGCAUUUCUAGCGGAUGAGCUUCUCUCCAUUUUGUCUGGUAAUAGAAUAGGGCGGCUUGCUUUGACCAACACUCCACUUUUAGCUCUGUCCAUGGAGCGUAUGAAUUUCCUUAAAUGUAGAUAGACCAAAAAAGGGAAUAAAGGGAUAGGAAUAGGAAUUAUAGUACCAUUGGAAGAAGAGGCACCAGUGGGAACAUCUCUACUGACGAACCAUUUCAAUAGUACGGGUGCUGCCGUGCCACGGGGCACGACCAUGGAAGUAAUGAAAAAGAAGAAGUUCUGUAGUUGGACCAUCUGCUCUAUCCGUUCGAUUUGAGCUUCUCCAGAGAAGAUGAGACGCUAAAAAUGAAAGUGUUCGCAACGCAUACCGAAAAAGGGUACCUAUGUUGCCGACCAUUAAUGACUAGUUUGAAGACCAGGAGCAGGGGCACGUGCCAAGAAAGAUUUGUUACUUUCCCUAUGGUUUUCGAACGUUUUCAAUAAAACCUUCUCGUAGAAGUAUUUUCACAAAGUUUUCGGUAAUAUUAGUAGAUGCUAUUCGAACCCUUCCUUUUAUUAAGAUUAGAAUUCUUAUUCUUAUUAUUAUCUAAUUAUUCUUUUUUUUCAUGUAUAUGCGUCAGACACAAUCUACUAAUUGAUCUAUAUUCUGAUACCCUACUAUAUCAUAGUCUCUACUACUAGUAUUUUUAAUACCUCAGGAGCUCAUGAGACUCUUUUAGUGAAAUUCAUAAGUCUCAAUUCCCGAGCGAUCGCNUUAUCCGCUACAUUCAAAAGGGUCUGAGUGAGAUGGAUCUUGGAAGUCUGGUUUUUGAUUGGAUAGUGAUCUCGGGCACGAGUGGUUGAUCUUCGCGGGCCGUGAAUGGCCAUGGAAAGGAGUAUUGAUGUCAAUAUGUUCGAUCGAGAAGAUUGGACGAUGAAAGACGGAUCCUUUGUGGUUUGAAUAAUAGGCUGUGGUCUCGAUAUUGGGCUAUGGGCUGAUUGCUUUCUGUAUGAGCCUCUUGUGAUUGGGCUCUCGUGGGCGGAUUACCCGAUGUGUACUCAUCUUCCAACAAAGAGGAGAGGACAGGGCUACUGCUGGUCCACGCAUGAGAGCUCCUCUGUGUCUUUCCGGAAAUUACUUCGACUCGCAAAGGUGAUCCCAGCCCACAAUACAAUCAGUAGUUUACUUAACUGAUAUAAAGAGUUUCCCCUGCCUGCCCCUACUAUCAAUUGAUAAUACAUAAAUGAUCCGGGGCUAGUGUUGGGUAGCCGGGCCCACUAGAAUUCAAGUGCUUCUUAUCGAUUCAAUACGCCCUUAACGGAUCCCCGUGCUUUAUCUCCAUUGGGUGGAGCAAGACCCUUGUCCUAUCUUUUCUUUACAGAGCAAUAGAAAUGAUGGUUGCCCCUCGCUGCACUGACCAAUGAUAUCUCAGAAGAGAGAAAGACUUCUAUAACUUGCCAAUGAUAUCUAGUGGGCACUACGAACUCCAGGCAUACUGUACUUGACCACCCUACUUUGCUUUGUCCCUAUUAGGCGAAAUCAAUACUUACUUUCAAUUGGUAGAGAGGAAGAAGAGAACUGACACUAGUAAUAGGUUGAUGACUUCUCUUAACAGAACUGACACUAGUAAUAGGUUGAUGACUUCUCUGACUUAAUAGCUGGCCGACUUCUCUUCAUGGAUCACCGUUCUAUAUAGUUAGGCGCAGCAUCGCGUUUAACCACCUAUCCCUAUUCCCUCAAUCGAUACCGUCCAACUAUCCUUUUAUUGGGACAGCAGCAUACUUCUCGUUAGGGACAAUAGUUCCUAUACUUAACUAACCUCUGUGCGCAAUCACUGUUUGACACAUCAUUCUUUCAGCUUUUCGUUCUUGACGACUCUGUUUGACGGAGCCUGACCUUGAACUAGCUUUUUGCAACACAAACCACUAUCUUUACUUUCCUUUAGCAAUAGUAUCUAACUAUCAAUUCAUAAGAGUCAAACGGGUGGGUCCAUCCCAUCUAUCGACAGGUCCUGAUACCGGAUCUGGGAAACAAGCAAUACUCGCCGCAAUUCCUUAAUGAAAAAAAGACCUAUCUUCUCUUGAAAGACUGUCCUUUCCUCGCUUGUUAUUGUGAUAUCAAUGAAAGAAAGCUGGAUACUGACUUCUUCCCAAGAGCUCUAUCAGCCCUGAAUUCCUUAGCCAUACGACUCUUCCUUAGUUUCCUAAUGCUGGUGGCCCUAGCUAGUGGUGAGACGGGGCAUAUACUAUUCUCGGUCUUAUAACGAAGAGGUUGCCUAGUUUGAACCGAACACUGUACUUGAUCUCUCGUCCUAUCACAAACAAGUCUCUUCCCCCGAGUCCUAGUAGACUAGUCCAAGUAGUCCGGGACAAUAGCGUCCCGUCUCUUCGCUGACCCCUGGCACACAAUCACUAUAAGACAAAGCAAGACAAACCUCUCUUAUCCUUCUCGGCUAGAAGUUACAAGUUUCCUGUUCCGGUUUCGGCAUGAGGGAAGUGCCUGAAAUCGAUUCAAUUCUUAUCUCCGAUUUCGAACUCCGGCUGGAUUCUUAUGACCAAGAGCUAUUUUCUUGGUCAGAAGAAUGGAAGGACAACGAGAAGAUGGUUCGGUUGCUCCUGCUGGAAUAUUCCAUUUAUUUAAUACUCCGACUCGCGUAACCCCGAAUGGCAAUGUUGUUAUUGCGGUUGGUCAGAUCAAUAAGACAACAAGGGAGUCAGAAUAUUCUGAUAAUAGCAAACAGGGCUUUGGAAUCUAUGGAAGGAGCCUUCAAUGCUUCUCCAGUGUCAACCAUUAGUCGAUAACAGAAUGAAAUGCCACAAUUAAGUUGAAAAAGAGAGUCAUUAAAAAGAGGCAUGCUUGAAAAAGAGUACAGAUAAUAUGUUAUGGAUGUGAGGAGCCUCACCCAGUACUUUUCUUACUAAACUAAAAAACUCUACUCUCCUUUCACAGCCAACCCACCCAUUGCUAUUUCGAGCUCGAUAAAAAGGAAAGUUCACGUGCCAAUCCUUACCAUUGGUAACUGUAAUUACCAAGCCUAAUCUUUCACUGAAUACCGAGUAAAGCAAGCAAGAAAGAGGGAAGGAGCAGCUGUUUUCGAGCUAGGCUCGAUCCCUUUUUCAUCCACUUCUCGCUAUUUUUAAUUCUACUUGAAUUAGUUCUUCCUAAGUUUAGUGAGGUGAGUACUGCAUCCAUAACUAGAGGACUUGCUUUUCUGCUUGGCUCCCAGGGGAAGUUGGAUUGGAUAAGAGGAAUUGAAGCGCAAGGAAGGCAGUCGGUAUUCAAACAACUAUUCAGAGUUCCCAACUCUGGGUAAAGGAAAUCUGUACUUGACGACUGAACCAAAUCCUUUGCCUUUAUUUAUUCUAUUAUUUUUAUAUAGAUCAGCUGAAAACAAAACAAAAAUACUACUACGUUGGGACAAUGACCCACCUUUCUCUGCUCAACCUGUCAUCUUCUCUCCUCGCUCCCUGGGACAAAUAAGACUAUUUAUUAAGUGAUAAACAAGAGAAACUAGUGAUAUUAUCUAAGCUUCUGGCCAUGUCUGAUUGGCAUUCAAGUCUGCCUUCCAUUGCUUGAAAAGGCCUAGCACCGUAAGUAGCAAUUGGCUAUGUCCAAACUCAAACGUCGUAUUUUAUCUAAGCACAGGAGUCGUAAUAAGGAAAGAAGACAUAAGAAUGGGAAGUAUCCGCUAGUUAUAACGUAGUAUAAAGAGAGCUAUUUCAUGGAUCUUGGUCACAAUAAAAAGAAUCCAAUAAUGAUCUAUCAACUAAAUGAGUUUAUUAUAUAAUCCCGUAUCUUCAAGGUUGUUAAGAUGAUUUAGUAGAUGUGUCGGUAUCGUUUUCAUCUGCCGUUGGGAGUGACUGCUUUGCUAAUCUAUCCUUUUAUCCUUCUUUUCGGAGACAAGCACAUAUUACCGUAACCUAGUGAUUAAUAUAUCCUGUUGGUACUACUUCGUCGAGCAAUCAAUCCUUUUUCCAUUCUUGUUCUGAGGUUGUCAGCUUCCUCCGAUGGCACCACUUGUACUCUCUGUCGGAAUCUGUAGACAUAGUUUCUGGGCGUCUUUAAAAACUGAUCGACAUAGUUGUCACACACAAACCUGCGCAACGGCUUUGGAGUAAAAGAAUCUCCUGCCCGGUCACACACAUCAUCUCGAGCGCGGAAUCUACUACUCUAACAAGAUACUCGGCUCGGGUAAAUCAUGCUUUCGUUAUGCGAGGAAAGUGAAAGGAAAGAGGGAAAGGGAGACACUGGGCAAUCCGGAAUCGAUGAAAUCACUGUUUUUUCGCCUUGUAAUAUGUCCGGUUACAUUCCAAAGAUGAAUCAGACCAGGAGAUAGAUAAGCGCUAUGGCGGACACAUGGAAUAAGAAUUUGAAAAGUAAUGAUCAACUUUAUGGAUCCAUAGGUAGAUUCACUUGUGAAGCUAUGGGAUGGGACAAGAUUCAAAAGUACCAAAAGUAAGUUAAGUGGGACGCUGAGUUCAUUGCUGCGAUCGAGGGUCCAAAGCUUUGGGAGAAGAGGGGAUCUGUACCUUCAUCUGAAAACUAUUCGCCGGUUGUCCGCAUUCCUCUCCUCGAGCGAAAGGUGUUCCCACGCAAUCGCUAUCGCUGUUCCUACGACGUAGUCAAUACGCAUUGGAAUAAUGGCAUCCCCUCCACCAUAGUAAGAAGUAACGGGUCUACGCCCUGCUUCCUUGUUCGGUUCUGGUUACGGGAACGGUUGACUUUCGAAAUAAAAUACCCUUCUUCCCUGUUUUGCAAAUUCACCUAGAGCUAGCGAAGCGAGUCCGUUUCCUAAGGACGAGCGAUGAAGAGCUUUUUAGAAUUAAAUAUUGGUCUACGCCCUCCUUUGAUGCCCAGAGGAAGAAAAGCGAAGGCAAAGCAAUGGCAUGGGCAUGAAAGGCUACGUAAAUAAGUACUUCCCCGAAAGAAAGGGGGCAGUCUAAGGCGGGACCUAUCCACUACUUGUGAAGUAAUAGAAGAGAGGAUUUCUCGUAUCUAGCGGAAGUACCACUACCAAUGCUAGGCUCCGUAGAAAGGACAUCGGCUCCUACGCAUCCUACGCAUUAGCGAACCUACGAUAAAUGAAAUACGAAUUAUUAGCGCUAUUAGGGACGAGCUCCUGCUUCCUCGGUUUCCUAUCCGAUCAGAAAUCCUAUCCUUGCUAAAACCAAUCCAAUCCACGAAAAGCAUCGUAUUGUAACACUUGUUAAAAAACAAAAAGUGUUGUGAAUUCGAUUGAGUUCGAAAGCACAUUCCCUUGCUAGAGAUAUUCCUUUUAUUCAUCCCGGAUUGUGUGAAUGCGUUCACACCUAUCCCGAGUGGGUAUAGUUACGUGGUUAAGUAAUCCCUUCCUAUGCGAGGUUCAUUGUAUGAGAGAACAUAAGGAAAGGCUUGAUACAUCCAUGUCUAGCUCAUGUCGAUCUUCGUGUCAUUUUUCUUUCAUUAGCUCAGUAGGAUAGUCCACGUUGCUAGGAUGUGUGGGUCUAGUCAGGUCGUGACCCUCGAUCAAACCAUCCUAGCAAUGCCCUCUUCUCAAAACAGGCGUUCGAUGUACGGAUCAUCGCCGCUUGUCUUUGGGGGUGGGAUUUUGGAAUUGGAAAUUGGAAUUGGAAGGUUUGACAGCGCGGCAAAUAAGUAAAUCUCUUCGACAUAGCUGAAGAGAAAUCGAGAUUGUGUGUUUGGAGAGGUGUAGAUUGUAGAUUCCAGCCGAGAAGACCAGGAAAAGAUAAGGAUAAAGAAUGUCAUAUAUCUCAGGAGCUAGAUCACUUCCCGAUGAACAAGUCAGAAUUGCCUCAACAAAAAUGGAUGGAAUUGGACCGAAAAAAGCCAUUCAGCUUCGUUAUCGAUUAGGUAUCAGUGGGAACAUCAAGAUGAAUGAGUUAACUAAGUAUCAGAUCGACCAAAUUGAACAAAUGAUAGCUCAAGAUCAUGUUGUUCAUUGGGAAUUGAAGAGGGGAGAACGAGCAGACAUCGAACGAUUAAUUUCUAUUUCUCGUUAUCGUGGAAUUCGUCAUCAAGAUGGAUCGCCCUUACACGGUCAACGAACUCAUACUAAUGCAAGGACUGCUCGCAAGCAAAUUCGGAAAUGAAAGAAGGCUACCGAAAGAACAAGCAACGGAUUUCGCGCUCAUCCCUUGCUAAAGCGCAUACGUUUUCUUGCUCCUUGGUACUUGUCUGAUCAAUCACACUGUUCAUUAGUUCACUUGAUUUUUCGUUCGAUGUCUUGAACCGCUUACUAAUCACGUAUACGUAUAGUAGGCCCCCUUCGCCACUCCACGUCUGGCCCGUCUUGGUCUCGCUCACUUCGCCCGCCUAUCGUAUCGGCUCGGCUUCGUCCGUCAAGCGACAGCUUCUGCCUCUGACGGCUUCACUAUCGCUCAUGACUGGUAGUAGUUGUCUCUAUGUAGUAGUCGGCCUUUGUUAAGCUUCGCCAGAAGCGACUAGUCGCUUCCCGAAUGCCUCUUUCUUGUACUAAUUAAUGUGUAUGGUCUAGUCUUUCCAAUGCCUCCUUCCUUGCCGCCAACGCACGCUAGAUGGAGAGUAAGCAAGCUACCUUGCUUGCAUUGCAUUCGUUAAACGGUAGCUUCCGCGCCCUUCCUGCCUGCUUCAAUUGAUGUGAAUGAUCGUGUCUUCGACAUCAAUUUCAGUCUGAUUAGAUAUGUCAUUGAAACAAAUCUGUUUUGUCUCUGUUUUCUUUUCGGAUGAUGAGGAUGAGCCAGCCGAUCCUAACAUAAUUUUGGAGGAGCCGGACGACGAAGCCUCAAAAUCAGAUAAAGAUGUCUCCGACGCGACCGGACUUCCACUAGAUUUUUAUAGGGGUCAGGAGGGAAAAGAUAUGCUGUUUUCUAUCAGUCCCAAGCGGAUACUCCCCAGCUUCCACGGUCCGCUUACCGAGGAAGAGAUGCGGGAGGACCCAGGGCCAGAGCAAGUUGGGUUGGGGUAUAGAGCCGUAAGCGCGGUGGGGGUGACAGAGGAUGUGCUCGUACGGUUCAUAGUUGGGUAUGAUAUUCUCGUGGAUUGUUGGGAACGUCCUCUAUAUUCGAAAUAUGCCUUUCUAGGAGCAUUACGAUCUGCAGCUCAAAUGGUCCCUUAUGAAGUCUCUAUUGGUCUUAUUCUUAUUGUGCGCCUUGUGAGCACGUUUGGAUCCGCGAAGGCAAUCGCUCGGAUCUUCCCCUAACCCAACCCGGGAACGGACCGGAGGGAACCGCAGCAUGAGGAAUGUCCGCGUCUCGUCGCAAGGCUCAUUUUGAGUUUUGGGUCAUAGGGCGGGCAGUGCAGUCCGGGGCACAAGGGUCCUGGUACUACCCAGGUGCGAAGAACCCCGGAGGCGACUGCAAUGAGCAAAAAUGUAACUCACCGGCCUAAACGACGAGCAAACACUCGAACGUGAGAGCAAGGGAUCACCCAACGAAUGGACGAGCUCCAAGGAGGGAGGAGAGAGGGAGGCAAGAACCAUGCUUUCAGAGAAGUGGCGGUCCGAAUCCACUCUGACAAAAUAAAAUAACAGACUAAGCCGUGCCGUAAGGGGGGCAUUCUCCACACGGGACGGGGCCAAGGCCUUCAUGUAUGGGUGACAGAUCGGCCAUAGGAGUACUCCGGGAUAUACACCAGGGCAACUAAUGUCGAGCAUACGAUGAUGCCGCCCGUUUUCAUUUCGUGAAAGUCCCCGGCAGAGGAAAGGGCUGUAGGUGAUGGCGCGUUCUGCUUCUUAGGGCGAUGAAAUCGUUCCUAUGGGAUCGUGCGUGGCAGCUGGUAUAGAUGAUGAUGAAAGGCGGGCCGCUUGAACCGGGACCUAUUCUCAUAAUAGGCAGCAAGCAAAGCUAAAUAGGAAAGGGGGCGACUGAUGACUGCCUUUUUCGUCAGAAAUCCAAAAGGGUGGAAUGUGGAGCUAAUAUGGCUGGCUACAAGUAUAGCCAAAGAAAGAUGAGACGAGACGGACUGUCAGAGGACGCAGCGGGACUACCAGGGGAAAGCCCGCCCCCGCUAGCUAACAUAGAUAUCUAUUCUCGGUGCGCAUAUUCGAGAUUUAGAAUCUCUUUCCGACCAGGCCAGGCCGAAUCGGGCCACCACUUGGGAUGGGAAUGGCUCAGCCCACAUGCAUCAUUUGAUGAAAGCACUCCAGUCCAGUCGCCUCCGAUCAGUGGCUUGUCAACCACCGGACCGUAAUUCCUCACCAAAUGCCCCUGCGUUGGGGCAACACAGCACAUGACUAGUUCGCUCAAGGACCACACCCUCUCGAGAGCAGGAUGCCGGCCGAGAUGGAGCGCCAACCUAGACUUUCCUUGGGCUUGCCUUGCCCCAACAUCUAAAUAAAGGGCGGGCGCCGAAAAGGAAGCAGUGACGCCUUUUCGACGAAAGCUUAGCUUGGUAGGCGCAGCUUACUCACCCUACUCCCUUAGACAAUGCAAUGCUCUGAACACGAAAGUUUGCAGUUCAGCCCUCUUCUCCCAUGCAGAGUCGCAGGCAGCGCCUCGGAUAAAAGCACGGACGAGCCACAUGCAGGGAAACUUGCACGUGUGGUUCUGGCCGGGGACCCCGGUAUACUGUACUAAUAUGUGUAGGUCCCUGUAAUUCGAGUGAGAUUGUCAUGGCGCAAAAGCAGAUAUGGUCCGGUAUUCCCUUGUUCCCCGUAUUGGUUAUGUUCCUUAUUCCUCGUCUAGCAGAAACUAAUCGAGCUCCGUCUGAUCUCCCAGAAGCGGAAGCUGAAUUAGUUGCAGGCUAUAAUGUAGAAUAUGCGCGGGAUGCGAUCCUUAAUAGUUCACUGUUGGCGGAAGCCAAUGUCUCGGGGACUCAUUCUGACUUAAACAAGGGGUGGGUCUUUACCAACUUCCAAAUCCAAGAUUUAGGGAAAAAAAAGAGGGGCAGGGCACUCUUCAUUCUUCAUUCGAAACUCAUGAAUGUCGGGUCGGAGGUUUUUGCCUUGUUAUCAAAAAGGGGAGUUGGGUAAAGCAAACUCCCUCCUUGGACGAGCACGGGGCUUAGUCAAGUAGAACCGGGUUGCGCUGCUUGAUGCUCCGAUCGAAAACAAAUCAGUGGGGCCAUGCCGGUACGACAGAAUAUGCGUUAGAAAGGUCAAUCCCUCCCCCCCUUUUUGAUUUUUUUAAUGAAAAACCGGGCCGAACUUCUAAAAAGCAGCCCACCCGCUUCCAUAGAACAAUAUCGCGGCAACGUAGACCUAAGUGGAUUUAUUGGAUCCUGGGGAACCAUCACAAGUACGGCCGGCCUAUAGAACGAGAAUGCCGUGUCGUCCAGCGGAGCUUAGAAGAAGGUGACUCGGAGCCUAAGGAAGGUGACUCGCGCAGACAGCUGACUCCUUUUCAAUAGAAAGGAAUAGCCAAACCUACCCAGCUGGCUGGUCAAUCUCAGUGAUCUUAUCGGCCGGCAAAGCGGAGACGGACGACCACGGUCCCGACCUUACCAGCACCGUAGGUUUACUAAUCAAUGAAGCCCCUCAACCUACUAUCUUUUCUUACAAACUCAACCAAGCCUAACCAAACCCCAUGCUCACGACAUGUUCUUGAUAUUGAUUGAGUUGGAGGGAGUCAGAGACUACCACGGAAUCCUUCCAUAGUCACCCCGGUGACCUUCGUCACCAAAGCGUCACGACAGUUUCCAAGACCCCUCAUAUAAUCUCCAGUGGGGAUCAGUCGGAGCACGUAGGAAUGCCGACCACUACAUAAGCCACGUCUGGCUGAGGCGAGCAGCAAGCGGGGGAGAGUAUUUUGAAGUACAAGAACGUUGGGGUGGGACGCUAGUACUUAAACUAGGGUUGCUUCUUAGCGCUAAUCUUGCGUUUUUCAGCAGUUAGUUGUAGCGCGCCUUCCCUCCUUCUCUCAUUUCGGAAAGAUUUGGCAGUAUUUUCUUAUGAUGACCUGGUCGAGAGAGUACGAAACAUCGGUGUAAAAGAUUGAGUGGGAUGGUUAUAGUAAGGGGCGAACCAAGUGCUUGCGCGAAGAAGCGAAUCAAUCAGAAUGGAGACAAGGAAAGGAGGAGAGGCGAAACUCAACAAAAAAGGAAAAGGGAACUCGACCGACUAUCAUGAGCGAAGCGAGGGAAUUCCUUCUGAUUGGAUCCCUUAGGAGAGAGACAAAAGGUAUUAUGAAAUAGAAUCAGAUCUUUGACGAUCCAGUAUUAGCUAGCAAGUGUAUGGACUCAGACUUUGAUGACUCCCUAGUGGCCAGGGAAGCGUUAGCUUCACCCUUUGAACGUCUCAUUUACUCUCUCUAGCUCUCGACUUUACGUAUAGGAAUUUCAGGUACAUUGGUCGAUGAAAGUGAACAUCUAUCUUAUCUUAUCUUACGCCACUUACUCUAGUUUUACUUUGUGGAAGACGUCCGAUUGAAUGAUCUCCAGUGGGUUCUAUUACCAUGUGUACCCAGGCCUGCUUCCUUCUUUUUUACCAGCCUCUCUGCUUCUGUCAGUAUAGAGGAAAGUCUUCAAUCCCUUGAGAGAAAUCAAAAAAUGGCCAAUAAAAGAUACCUAGCAUGACACAUCAGCUACGCCAUCUGAGCCUGUCCACUUGCUAGUCAGGAAAAAUAACCGCUCCGUUCCGUGGGCUUCUUUCGCUGCUCUCUUCACGCUCGCUUUACGAGUGCAACCAAGUUCAAUAAACUGUUCAUGCUAAUUCAUAGACUAUGCUGGUUUCUAUCUAAGAGUCCUGUGAGACGCUUCCUUCUCAUACACAUCUGAAGCAACGUUUGAUCAUCCGCAUUAGAGAGUUUUGCAGGUCCUUGAGAGAACGUUAUCCAGUCAGUUAUGACUUGACCAUGGUCUGAGGUGAAAUUGGUCCUGGUCCAUAAAACGAAAGGUGCUGGGCAAGCGCAGAGAAGUCGUCUGAAGGGGAGUUCCAUAGGAAUGUUCAACUUCGAUCAACCUUGGUUUGGUCCCAUGCCUAAAAAAGAAAUAAGGUCCAAAACAAAAUAGGGGUGAUAUAACCCACUGCUCGCCUAAGAAUGUACUGACGUAAUCCCUACUAUGGCUUCCCGAAGGAUCCAGCUGCUAAGAGGGUCCGAGCCAUAACGGAUUGAUGUGACCGUAGCGGCGACUGGAAUCGAUCUGAAUGAGGCAGUUAUGGGACUUUUCUUAUAUAACAAUAUAUAUGGAGGAAGGAUUCAAAAAAGGUGGGGGUCAAGGUGUAUAAUACGAGCUCCACUUUCAGGCAAUGAGCUAGCUUAACCCUGAUUGCUUAAGGUUUAAUACAGUCAUGUUGGAUCUGCUACUAAGAAAGGAAGAGAAAGACUGAUUGCGACAGCUCAACCGGAUGAGACAUCUCUUAUUUACAGAACUGUGCCAACGUGUGCCUACAUUGUUUGAUUUACCAGUUCCGGGUAUUGGAUUUUGGAAUAGAAAGAAUGAAACUAGUACCAGCUUAUCGCCAACCGUGCUUUCUACCAACUCCGCCAACCCCAGACGGGAAUAUUGAUUGCGAUUUAGCCGCACCUGAGCCCGCAACUGCUGCCUCUACUCCGCCUACUUCUUGUGCCGACUUCGCCAGCCUCGCGGGGUACCGAUUUCCUCCUGCUUUGUGUGCGUGCCAUUGACUCCUUUAAUGGGUCGAAACCUACUUAGUUCUCAUUUUUAUUUCGUCUAUACAAGAAAAGAAGGAUUUGUGUUUAGCAAGACAGAGAAUUGAAUAAGUAAAAAUAAAGUAGUGUGUACCCUUUACCGAAAAGCAAAUAUGACAGAUAGGGUACGACAUAUUGCUUAUUCCUGAUUGAUCUAGUUGACGACAGUUGCCUUGUUGGACCGAUUGUGGAUUGGAAUAGAAGUUUCUUAUAUACAGAUAUUCGUGUUUACUGAUUUCGCAUACUGGGAAUGGAACUUGAUGUAACCCAUUGGAAACUCUCUUUGAGACUCAUUAUCUGUUAUAUACGACAGGCUAAUUAAGUCCUUAAAUUUAAGAAAGGAGUCUUUCCUUACUUCCUUACACAAAACUGUUAUGUUGUUAUGCUGCUCGUGCAAUCAAAACUUAGAAUAGAAGAAAAAGAGUUCCCUCGGGACCCAUCCUCUUCUCCUUCGCUUGUGUGACUAUCAUGAGAAGAAUUCCAUUCCAAGAAGUCAAAUAACAAGAAAAAGAAACGAGGUCAAGAUCCGUUGUUACCAGUACCGACGAAAUGGAGAAAGUGUCCUCCGGGAACGCAAUCUACUACAUUAGUUGGUGUAGCCAAAGAAGAGGAUAUCCCCUUUUUUGACCCAUUGGUCUUCAGACCAGACCCAUACCAUAGCUACAAACACUUUUGAGUCGGAGGAGACUGGCCAGAUCGCCUUCUUGAGGCUCUCUGGGCUUAUCGGACGUCAAUCUGUAUAGCCACUGGUCCCCUUCUCCUUAGUCGUUGGCAUGGACGCCAUUCUUCCCAGUGAACUCGACGAUUCCUUCCCUGCGCGUUCUGCUCGACGACGAUAUGACUGAUAAUCAGAAGCGAGAGGCUCUCGAAACUUGACCUCCUCGAUUCGAUCGAUGGGAGAAAAAAAAGGUUACGAGCGGCAGAGCACGCACAAGUCUAUCAACGUCAACUCAGCCGCGCUUUGGACCGAUCCUACGAAUAAGAGGCAUUAACAAAGCAUUUAUGAGACACCAUACUUUCAAUAGGCAAGGGCCAGCCCGAAGAUCAACGGGAUCUUUCUCCAAGCUAAGUUUCUACCCCCGAGGGAACCGGCCACGAUGCGUGGGGGUAUCGGUGCUGAUAAACUCGUCUCCGCUCAUCUUACCUGGAAAUGGAAAUAAAUUCUGGUAGAUUACCUACCUCAUCUGAGAUGAAGGAAUUUCCUACUUAAGAUUCGUAUGCCUAUUUUGCUGUUGAUGUGGAGGAAUUGGUACUAGCCUACUCGAUAUGUUCCUUGCCUGGUUCGCUAUAGGAAGUGCUUUCAGCAAAUGAGGAGGGGAAUAUUCAUAGGUAUGAAUCUUCCGUCAAUGGUUAAGGUUGAAGUGAAGGCAAACCUUCUUUGAAUUUUGAUGCCUAAUUAUUUAGCUCUGGUAUUGAGAAAGAAACCAUUCAUACGGCCAGGUCACAGGAAUGCUUCUUCGGCUUACAAUUCCGAGUCAACAACCGUAACUCGAGCACUUAGCCCUAGCUCUUGCUCUUUCCUUCCUUGCAACGGGCUGCCUGUGUGCCUACUAAUAUUUACUUACCUCAAUGGUGCGCUAACUUUAGAACGAGGAUUUGCCAAAUUCGUAUUAGGGGGGGCUAUGCAGCAAUUCGACCACUGUUACUGUACUAGAUAUCUCAGGCUUAUCCUAAAGAAAUUAUGGCUUCGCUUCUCUUCUUCCUGGUGAUGGAUAUAGUCUCGAUGGCUUUGCCCAAGUAUGGCAUAAAAGUAAAAUAGGAUAUCCUUCAAAAGGGAAUUUCAUGUGUGAGCACCUUGCCUCUUUUAGGGAAGGCUAUUUACCAAGUGAGUCUGCGCAGCAUGCUACGAAACAUAAGAAUCAUUUGGAAUCCCAUUUGCACCCGGAUUCAGCUUCUUUCGAACUAGCAAAUGCACUUUCAGAGCCAACAACGGAUCGGCUUGGCCCAUUCCCCAUCUGGGGAAGAAAGAGUACCUAGAUCUGCAUCUACUAAGUAUGCCCUGAAAUUCAUGUUAUGAUCCGGUCUUUCCCAAAGCUAGGGCUUCUUUUCCCAUCCCUAUCCUCCGCGUCAACCUGUACCGGACCCAGAGUCAAAACUAAAAAGAGAAUGAAGUCUCGAAAACUCUUAAUUAAUAAAUAUUCGUGCGCCUACUUUGCUUAUCCUUCUCUGCCCCAUUAUAGAUAGUUGGGUAGAGCGAGGGAUAUCGGGGAAGGAAGAAAAACCUCCACUUGUUUUACGGAUUCACAUACUGGUUGGUAUGUUCAUCAAGUUCUCGAUUACUACUUACGGUGCCCACUGACUCCCUUUAAUGGUACGCAGUCCCUGCCAAUUUCUCGAAAGAAAGUGCUAUCCACUGAGGGGCAAGCGGAGGAAGUGCAGAAAUCGCGUAUCCGUCUUAUCCUCGAUGGAGUACAGUGGCUAUAGAAAGAAAGGAAGAGUUCGAUUGCUUGGAGAAGGUAUUCUUCUUGGUCGACGGGACCUCCCCUCUUCUUACCCAGAAAAGGAAACGAGUCACUUCUUGCGGAAUGAUAGAUCCGUUUGUCUUGCUCUACCUAAGCAGGAUUGAGUACGAUGAUGCUCCCUACCUAUGUGUACCUCAUACUUUUCGGGCUAGAAAUGCCAUAUAGUUAAUGGAACUAUCCAUUUUGGUCGAUCUUGAUUAGUAGAUUGCCAACUUCUUCUUCUUCUGAUAGGAAUCUUCCCUUUAUUAGGUGGCUAUAGCAUAACGAAACAAGUAAAGUAGGUUAUUCUUUACUAAGUUGGUUCCUCGGCUCGAUUGGUAAUGCAGAAAUCACCUGGGCUUGCAAGCUAUGUGAUGUGACAUACCUGGCUCAGCUCAAUCCUACGACGAAUACCUUCUGCGCCUACGACGAAUACCUUCCUUUCCUUAGCGGAACAAACACUCCUAUCUCCUGCUAAAGCUGGAUGCGCGCCGGCACACGGGCCAAAGAGGACUAAGGAGAAGGGAUGCCAUACUAAUAGACUGGGCAAGCAAAGCAAGGCAAGCGUUGAUGACUCUCGAUUGAAAGGUUAAGAGAAGGAUGCGCAUGGCACGUGGAAUAUUCCUAUCGGAAGAACAAUCAGAAAAUAAGGAGAUAGUGAGUUGGCACUUUUCACACAAGAACCGCUUUUCGUAUUAAGCACGGGAGUCGUAAGGAAAGACCUCUGCGUAGCUAUCAGAACGAAUUAAUGAACGAAAUAAACGAAUUCCGGUGAAACCAAGGCGAAUUUAUGAGCCAGCAGUGGGAAAAAGAUGCCAAGUAUUGAGAUGCAACAUUAUGAAUGGUGCGAUCCGAAGUCUUACUAUUUACUCAAAAUUGACUCAAAUGGUUGACUGAACUUCACAGAGGACUAAAGCCGGGAACUUAAACUAAUGGUUUUGCCUUUCCACUUCCCAAUUGACUCUCAUAAAAGGCUAGGCUACCUCUUCACAUCGCACCUGAUCCCGAAUCAUGUGCUCUGUUCAGGGGAUCAAUAGUGGCUAUUAAGCUUUUCCCUUUCUAUAUAUUCUUGAGAAUAAGUAAAUACCAUCCUUUUUCCUAUCAGCAUCUCUCUAUCUGACAGUAAAUAUUGCUUUCAAUCGAUCAGGCACUAGGUUAUUAAAGUAUGGAUAUGCCAUAUAAUAAGGGAAAAGGCCUCAAGUUUUUUUUAGCGCAAAAGAAAAGCCGAUUCCAAAUUUUCUAUUUCCCGGCAAGUCUAUGAGAGUCCUAUUACGGAUCCUCUGAUCUUUAGCUUGAAUGGUCGUGUUUUUAUAUAAUUAGGUCUUUCUUCUGAGCUCUUCUAUUACGGUACGGAAAAAUCAAACCUAUCACUCUCAAAGAAUGGGUAAAAAGAAUUCAAGCUAGGGGAGCCUACACUCUCUAACUACCUAUACUACGCCCCCAUUGAUUGGAAACCCUCGGGGAAAAUGAUCCCAUAAACAAAGGAAUUAUACAGUACGAAAUAGCAAAAAAACAGACUAAUUCGAUUCUAAAAAAUCGAUAAUAGAUAUUUUAUUCUGCUCAAAUUGUCCCGACAAGGAGAGAUAUUCAAUAUUUGAAUCAGAUUGGAUUUCGUAGUAUACCAAUGUGAGCCAAACUAUUACUAUUUCAUCUAACUUGAAUAACCAAGGACUGAAUUUGACUAUGGAUUCUGAUAACUCGAGAAGUUUUUAUUUGGUUAUGAUCCAAAAAGAAAAAAGAAAGGUUUAACAAGCCAUGAGAAAAUAGAGUAAAGUAACCAUACGUUCUGUUUGCAUAACGUGUAUACGCCACGCCAUACAAUCGAAAUAGAAACAUGGGACGAUUCCAGAAUUUUUAAUAGAUCCGUGGGGAUGAGAGAAGUUGUUGUUGAGAAAUAUGAAAUUGGAAAGGAAGUCAAACUCCCUAUGGAACCUGUGAUCGGUUGUACCUGUACUUUAGUGAUACGAAAACUCGCUAUUCACUCAGUUUCUGGUCAAUAAUAAGAUUAUGUAGGAGAGAUGGCCGAGUGGUUCAAGGCGUAGCAUUGGAACUGCUAUGUAGGCUUUUGUUUACCGAGGGUUCGAAUCCCUCUCUUUCCGUUUCUGUUAAUUCACCAACGUUACCGACCACAAUGAAAUUUCUAGUAAGAGGAAAAUCCGUCGACUUUCUAAAUCGUGAGGGUUCAAGUCAAGUCCCUCUAUCCCCAAUAAAAAGCCCAUUUUACUUCCUAACUAUUGUACCAACCUCUAUUUUUCAUUAAUGGUUCAAACAAGAUUCACUAUCUUUCUUAUUCUACUCUUUCACAAACGGAUCCGAACUGACUUCUUUGGAUCUUAUCCCAUUCAUACAAAUGAACAUAUUAUAGUAUAGGCAAGUAAUCCCUAUUAUUAAGUAAGUCAUUCACAAUCCAUAUCAUUAUCCUGAUAUUUACUAAGUCCAAUUUGAGAAUACUUUUUUCUUUUUUAGUCCCUUUAAUUGACAUAGAUACAAGUACUCUACUAGGAUGAUGCACAAUAAAUAGUCAGGAUAGCUCAGUUG